UUUAUCUGAAGUUCACUUAUUCAUUACGCAACGAUACUGCUGUGCCAGCAACAGUUUCAACCAACAGAUAACACGGGGACUCGAUAGUUCAUUAAACCAACACAGCAGGACUGACACGAACGAGAAAACAGUUCAAAUGAACGACAGGACGCCAGGGCAAUUACGGACCACCACACCACGGAGACGGAGCACCAUGUGAAGGGUGGAUCAAACGCCAGGGCAAUUACUGACCACCACGGAGACGGAGCACCAGGUGAAGGGUGGACUCCUUCUGGAUGUUGUAGUCUGCUAGGGUGCGACCAUCCUCCAGCUGCUUGCCAGCAAAGAUCAGGCGCUGCUGGUCCGGGGGAAUGCCCUCCUUGUCCUGGAUCUUGGCCUUGACAUUGUCGAUGGUGUCGGAGCUCUCAACCUCCAGAGUGAUGGUCUUGCCAGUGAGGGUCUUCACGAAGAUCUGCAUGCCACCACGCAGGCGCAGCACCAGGUGGAGGGUGGACUCCUUCUGGAUGUUGUAGUCGGCGAGGGUACGGCCAUCCUCCAGCUGCUUGCCAGCAAAGAUCAGGCGCUGCUGGUCCGGGGGAAUUCCCUCCUUGUCCUGGAUCUUGGCCUUGACGUUGUCAAUGGUGUCGGAGCUCUCAACCUCAAGGGUGAUGGUCUUGCCGGUGAGGGUCUUCACGAAGAUCUGCAUCUGCAGAGAAGAAUACCAAAUAGAAUGGUAAGCCUCAAGAAGCAAACUGAGAUGAUAAACACUACUACAUAAAUAAUCUUAUAUACAACCACGCCAUAUAUAUUUAGGUGCAUGCUCAUGACCACAAGAAACUAAAGAUUGUGAUUCCACGGAGCUGUCAGACAUGCUUAUCAUCUAAGGGAAGAAGUCUGGCUUUUUCUGAGAAAAAGCCAUCUACAGAUUGUAGAUAAUAAACAAACGGCAGCAGCAUAUUUUCUUCAUUAUAUAAAGAUAAACUAACAGACUGUUAAGUGCACGCAGAUGCAUAUUUUCCACAUAGCUGCCGGACAUGCUUAACAUCCAAGGAAGGGAAGCCUAACUUUCUCAGGGGAAAUCAAUCUACAUGCUUAACAUCCAAGGAAGGGAAGCCUAGCUUUCUCAGGGGAAAUCAAUCUACAAUCCUACGCCUAUUAGGACGAUCUCGGUACAGCAUAUGAGCACGAGCGACACAUCAGGCAGUAUACGCGUCUGGGAGAGAAAGAACUACGACACAAAAGGCUAAUAAUGGAUUCGACCAUAAAAUUCAAGCAUAAUAAAGAGUUAAACGAAUCUAUCACUGAGGAGCGGAUGAAGCAGUACAUAAAUCAUGCAUAUGAGACUAUACGGGUCAAGGACUUGACCUCGAACACGAACAGAUCUACCCCUACAAUCUACACGCAAAAAUCCCUAAGAAUUCGCCAAAGCUUCGCCGUCCUACCAUGCGCGAACGGAUCGGGCAACAGGAAUCGUUCCCACAGCAUCAGAUCGGAGCAGAAACUGAUACUACGCAUCCAACAAUCUAAUCAACGCGGAUCUAGACGAUACGGGAAGAGGGGAAGCAAGCGCCGUACCUUGAGGCGGUGGGGGAGGAGGAUCCGACGAGCCUGGAGUCGAUCGGAGACGAGAUUGGCUGGGGAUUUGUUGGUUCCGUUCCUGGGAGCUGUUGUGAGGAUUGGAGGCUGGGAGGGGGGCGGUAUUUAUGGCGGCUGGUGACGGGCCCUGGUGGAGAAGGAAUCCAUCCCGUGCCGUGACGGUUCCGUCUGUUGGACGCGCCCGUCUCGUGCUCGUCUCCGCCACGCGAAGGAUCCGACGGGCGCGGAGGGUUCGAGAAAGGACGGUGGCUCCGUUUGGCCCGUCUACCUCGCGUGGGGCGUGGGGCAUUGGGGGAAAAAAAUUCUAUUAGACCAGGUCUCACGGAUUAGCAGGUGAGACCCAUCCUGAUGGAUGACACGUGUCAUCCACAAAUCACGAAGCAUUCACCCCACCCCCACCUGAAAUCAGGGGGGAGAGAUUAAAUGCUUUGUGAUUUGUGAAUGUCACAUGUCAUUCAUCAGGGCGGGUCUCACCUGAUUUAUAUGAGACCUGGUCUCAUAUAAUUUUUUUCCGGCAUUGGGGUUGGUGGCCGUUAGGCACCCCCUAACGCCGUUAGGCGGCUUGUUGGCCUGUGCCGCUGGCGCGUAUGGCCCGCUUUCCACGUGGUUGCGUGUGAUUGUAGGUCGAGUGCUCCUUUCGCUGAUUGCUCUGUUAACGUGUCGUUCUGUUGCACUUCUCCAAAUAAAAAAUCCAGUGAGCUAAUUUGGACUUUCAGUUCCAAAAGAAAAAAUGACUUUGACAGGUUGCACCAAUGAGCCUCUGUGCGGAAGCGGUUCCCCUGACGUGCGGCUCCUGCCGUUGUGGCGCUGCCAUGUGGGCCUGUUCCCCGAUGGGUCCAUCAGUCAGUGGUCGAACGGCACCCUGCCGAACGGCAGAGGAUCCUCGUUCCCUCUGUGCAUCCGCUGCGGCCACGCUGGGCAUGUCUCUUCCCAAUGUAGGGAGCCUUGCAGUCCCAUCUCGGCGGAGGAGCUGCGCCGUGCGGUGAUCGCCAAGGUCGCUCGCAGGUCAGAGUCGCCCGGUCAGGCACCGGCCAUUCGGCGGAGGCUGUCGGAGCCUAGGCAGAGCGCGCCGGCGGCGCAGCUCUCGCCAGUUGCGCCCAGCUUCCGCCCAAUGAUGCCGGAUUUGGCCCUGUCUGUGGCGCCGUCUGAGGUCUGUGUGCUGCCGCGCUCGGAGGGGAUGGAUGACCUCGAGCGUCGGCUUCAGCUGGCGGUGGUGAUGUAUGUUGGCGGGGCUAGGCCGGCCGUGUCCUGCGACGAUGCUGUGGUCGCGGUCUCCGUGCAACUGGGGAUUCCAAGGUUUCGUUUUUCUGUCCAUAAGUUUCAUCCGGAAGAUUUCUUGGUCAUUUUUGCGGCACACGAGUUCAGGAACAGAGCGCUGGCCGCACCAGAGAUUGAGCACAUGGGAGUCUAGUUCUUCAUCAAGCCGUGGCUCAGGCAGGCUCAGGCGGCUUCCAGGCUGAUGCGGGUCCAGGUGGACCUCAUGAUGGAGGGUGUUCCGGCUCAUGCGUGGGCUCAGGAGACGGCAGCUGAGCUGCUCGGGAAUGCUUGUUUGAUCGAGAGUUUGGCGCCGGAAACGGCCAGUAGGGAAGAUUUGUCUAUGUUCAAGUUGAGAGCCUAGUGUGUGGAUCCUGAGGAUGUGUCGAUUUUUCGGAAGCUGUGGGUGCCGGAACCGCCGGAGAUGGUGCAUGACCCGGCGGCCAGGUGUGCGUCAUUCUGCCAGCUCCUGGAGUACCCUGUGUUCAUCCACAUUGGCAGGGUAAGGGACUUCACGCCGCCAGAGAUGUGGAGACGUGCGUCGGGAUCGGACGGAGGAAGCGAGCAGAGUGGGUUGCCGGACAGCGCGAACAGCUCGUUUCAGGGAGGAGAGUGGAUAGUACAGCCAUGGACGCGGGGCAUCCAAGACAACCAUGGAGCAGGCCGGAGGAGCAACGGCGGCGGUGGUGGCGACACGCACGGCCGUUCAUACCGGGCGGUUCUGGAAGGUAGGGUGGGCCCCUCGUCCUGGAGUCUCCCACCAAUCGGACCGACCCCGUUGACGGUCAAGCCAGCGGCGGGAUUGCAGAGCCACGGGACGGUGGUGGGCCCGGAUAUUUCAAAAGAGCCAAUCCGGGUGAGCGAUAAGCUGCCCAUAGUGGUGGAGACAGCUGGAGAGUUGGUGCUGGCGACAAAGACCUGGUCGGCAUGGGAUGCGCCGACACAGCAGGAUCAGGUGGCAGCGGGGCCAGGAUCAGAGGCGACCAGGCCAUUGGAUGCCAGGACCGAGGAGGAUAUGGCGCGGACGGAUCAGACCAAGGAGAAGGCUGCAGAGGUGGAUAAGGACACGGGAGCGGACCCCAGUCCGGCUGAGGCAGGGCCUCUGCGGCCUGACCAGUCUGCGGAGGUGAUUGUAGGGGUGGGGUCGCUGCUUUCCGACCAAGCGGCGCCUGCUGCCACAGCGGAACCGGUGCGGCCCGUUGGGCUUGUGGUUGCGGCAGCAGCACCACAAGGCGGGGAGGAACCGGCACAGGAUAUCUCAGACGGGCCGGCGAUGCUGUCGGGAGGCUGGGCCCCGGUCACGGAACUGAUUGGCGACGCGGAUCUGGGGCUGCACCUACCCCCUCUCGGGCCAGGCUCCGCAUCAGAGCGCGUGCUGGGUGACCAGGCCCCACGGCCAACAGGAGAUGCAUGUGAUGGGACUACGUACGAGAGCCAUGCAGAUACGGCCGCUCGGCAUGGUGGAGAGAUUGUGCUGCAUGAGGAAGCACGGAACAUGGGUGCCACGGAGGAAAGCCUAUCGGGCAAGGAAAGGGCAGCGCUGGCAACAUCAAAUCCUUUUGUGCUGGGUUGCUCAAGAAGCUCCCCCCCCCCCGCGCUCCUGAAAGAGAUAGAAUGCGUGAUAGGGGUGCGUUCAGGCCAGGAUCCGUUCACACCUAGGCGGAACACAAGGUCUGUCUGCGCAUCUGGCGCGAGAAAGAACAGUGUCACAGCAGCCGAGUCGGUACUUCUCAAAGCUUUGGGCAUCAACAGUGAUGAUCUGGCGGUCUCUGAGGACGCGCUAGGUCAGCUGAGGGCGGUUUUCGACUCGCCUGUCCAAGAGAAACAGUUGAGGGCGAUCGCGGCUAUCUUCGGGAAGGUCAUGCCAUGUAACAUGGCUUGUGAGAUGGAGAGCACGGUGCUACUAUCGGUCUAGUCCGGAUGGGCUAGGGCAUCGGGAAUCACCACCUCUCCCAUGUCGCACGCAGCAAUGGAGGUAGCCUGUUGGAACGUUAGGGGGCUCAACAGCCCCGCUAAGAAAAAGGCGCUUAGGGAGUUCGUGGACACGGUGCGUGUUGUGAUCGUGUGUAUCUUGGAGUCUAAACUCGAAAGAGUCGACCAAUUUGUGAUUAUGCAAUGCUUAGGGCCAUCUUAUGAUGGCUUCUCUUAUCUUCCCGAUUCGGAGAUGAGAGGUGGUAUUAUAUUGGGAUGGGACUCAUCCAGAGUGAUGAUAUCGAACACGGUCCUUGAUACUAACUUCAUCACUGGUUAUGUGACACACUUGGAGGGACCGGGCUGGUGGCUAUCUGUGGUGUAUGGGCCACAGGAGGACGAGCAGAAGUGCUCUUUCCUGGAGGAGCUUGCGGAGAGGAGAACCAUGUGCCCGGGACCAUGGCUGGCGAUAGGAGAUUUCAACAUGAUUCUCUACGCAUCUGACAAGAGCAACAGCCGAUUGGAUCGCAGAAUGAUGGGCAAAUUCAAGCGGUUUGUUGACGACAAUAGCCUCAAGGAGCUCUUCUUGCAUGGUCGGAGUUUUACGUGGAGCAACAAGCGCGAGGUGCCCACUCUCACUAAAAUUGAUAGAGCUUUUGUUUCAGUGGACUGGGAGCUAGAUCACCCUGAUUGUCUACUACAAGCUCUGUCCACAUCGACCUCCGAUCACCGCCCAUUGUUCCUAACGCUGGAAGAACACAUGCGAUCACAGAAGCGCUUCAGAUUUGAGCUUUUUUGGGUCAAACUUGACGGAUUCUUGGACGCGGUAAAGGAAGCUUGGGUAUGCGAGGACGAGAUCUUGGAUCCCUUCCACAGGUUAGACAUACUGUUGCGUAAUACGGCGAAAUUCCUCACAGCUUGGGGUUAGCGGAAGGUGGGCAAUAUCAAGCUUCAGAUUGCAUGCGCGAACUUGGUCAUCCUGCGACUUGACUGUGCACAGGAGACUCGGACUCUCACGGAGGGGGAGAGGUGGCUGCGGGCUACCCUAAAGCAUGCGGUGCUGGGUUUAGCAUCCUUGGAGAGAACAAUUGCUAGGCAAAGAUCGCGCGUCAAGUGGCUUCAAGAAGGAGACGCGAACACGAAGCUGUUCCACUUGAUCGCAAACGGAAGGAAAGCUAAAAACUUUAUCCCCGCGCUACAGAAGGAUGGAAUCAUGAUCACGGACCAGAAGGGGAAAGAGGAGGCCUUCUUCGAGACGUUCUCUGAGAUCAUGGGUAGGGGCUCGGCGCGCGAGCACAUACUGGACUUGGAGUUCCUAAACAUUGAGGCGUUGGACCUAUCGGAGCAGGACUUGAUUUUUGAGGAGGAGGAAGUUUGGAAGGUUAUCAAGGAAAUGCCUUCGGACAGAGCUCCCGGACCGGACGGAUUCAUUGGGAUCUUUUUCCAAACGGCAUGGAGCGUGGUGAAGGGUGAUAUUAUGGCUGCAUUGCACAAGAUAUUCCUGGAUAAUGGCCGCGGCUUUGGCAGAUUGAACCAAGCCUUGAUCUCGCUUAUCCCGAAGACGCCAGAGGCAUGCACGGUCAAGGAUUUUCGCCCCAUCUGUUUGGUACACAACAUUCCUAAGCUUGCUUCCAAACUCCUUGCCAACAGAUUGUGACGAUGAAUGCCUAAGCUGGUUCAUGCCAACCAAUCUGCUUUCGUCAAGGGCCGUAGUAUCCACGAUAACUUCCUUCUGGUCAGACAAAUGGCAAGAUGGCUGCAUAAAAGGAAGGUAAAAGGAGUGAUGCUGAAACUUGACAUAUCUAAGGCGUUUGAUUCGCUUUCCUGGCCGUUCCUCUUUGAAGUGUUGCGGGCAAAGGGAUUUUCAGACAGAUGGUUGUGCUCUAUCGCAACCCUCCUGUAUACUGCCAGCUCCCGAAUCGUGGUGAAUGGAUCUGCUGGAAACAAGUUUAGGCACGCUUGUGGGUUAAGGCAAGGUGAAUCCCUCUCACCUCUGCUUUUCGUCAUUGCUAUGGAUGUGUUGAGAGCGAUCAUUGUCAAGGCGCAUCAUUCACAGUUAUUGGGGAAGUUUAACGGGUGUGGACCGCUGCAAAGGCUGUCCCUGUAUGCCGACGACGUGGUGCUAUUCAUCAAACCAACACUUGCAGACCUGUCCUUUGUUGUGGAAGCACUGAGGAUAUUUGGAGAAGCAUCCGGGCUCAAAGUAAACUUCGCCAAGUCAUCAGCCAUCCUCAUUAGGAGCAACGAAGACGACGAGAUCUUGGUUCGGAGCAUGGUGCCAUGGCAGAUCGCCAAUUUCCCGUGAUACUUAGGGCUGCAACUAAGCAUUAAACAUCUGACAAGAUCAGACUGGCAACCUAUUGUGGACACAGCUCUAAAGAUUCUACUGGGAUGGCAGAGAGGGCUGGUGACCCGUCCGGGCCGGCUGAUCCUCGUGAACCAAGUGAUGCGUGCGAGACCCACACACCACCUGCUUGUGGCUGAGGCACCAAAGCGGGCACUGGAUAAGGUGGACAGUGGAUGCCGUGCGUUUUUCUGGGCCGACUCCGAUCAUAUUCAUGGAGGAAAGUGCGCGGUGGCGUGGCAGAGGGUGUGCAGGCCGAAACAUAUGGGUGGGUUGGGAGUGAUUGAUCUUCACCGCCAUGGCAUUGCUCUCAGGAUGAGAUGGGAAUGGCUCAAGAGAUAUGAUGACAGUAAACCGUGGCAAGGCCUUAAUUCUUUCGUGGACAAGGAUGUAUGCCUAGCCUUCUCGAGCAUGGUCCAUUGGCAGGUAGGCGAUGGCACUAAGGCUCUGUUCUGGAAGGACAGAUGGGUGAGGGGAUCGACGGUGAGCGAGCUGGCGCCCAUGCUUGUGGCCAAAGUGAAAACCCAGGUGCUCAACAGACGAUCGGUCAAGGACGGCCUACUUUUGCACAAUUGGAUGAACGAUAUCAGGGGAGAACUGGAUACAGACGGGCUCACCCAGCUCAUUAGGCUUUGCGAGGUCAUUAUGAACUUUGAACUGCGCACGGGAGAGGAGGACAGAAUGAUAUGGAGGUGGAACGAUGCGGGCACUUACUCGGCCGCUUCGGCGUAUGCGAUGAUGUGUGAGGGAGGGGUGCAAUUCCAGCUUGCAGGCGCGAUAUGGAAAAGCGGGGCACCUCUCUCAUACAAGCUAUUUAUGUGGUUGGCCGUCCAAUAUAGGAUCUGGACGUCGGAUAGGCGAGUUCGACACGGUUUGCAGGAUACGAUAUCUGCAUGCUUCUUGUGUGAUCAGGAGCAGGACACGGUGGAUCACAUACUUGCACAAUGCGUCUAUGCCAGACAGGUCUGGUUCGAAUGUUUUUCCAAGGUCGGGAUACCUCUGCAGCUGAUACCCGAGGGGCAUGAAAAGAUGGAAGUGUGGUGGGUGGCUUCGAGGGAGAGGAUGCCCAAGACACACCGAAAGGACUUCGACUCUUUUGUCAUGUUGAUUUGCUGGAGUAUAUGAAAGCAACGGAAUGGUAGAGUUUUUGGUAGGAAUAACCUGUGUAAUGAGCAAGAACUGGUCGGGAAUAUUUUCAGGGAGCGCCACCUGUGGGCUCUAGCUAGAGGGAGUGGAGUUCUACAAUUUUGUGAGUAGUAGCCUAGGAGGGUUUUCAGGAGAUGGCAGGCACGUCGUGGGUGAUGCCUGCAGCCAUGUAAAUCUUGUACAUAUUGUUUCUCCCCUUCUAUAAAGCUAAGGCACGCCUUUCGCGUGCUUUCGAAAAAAAAGACUUUGACAGGUUCAUAUUUUGCAAAAAUUGUGACGGCCAUGAGCACACCUGCCUUAUCGAGUAGUAAUAUAUUUCGUACUCCCUCAAUAUUAGUUUAAAAACCGCGACACUUAUUUUAGAUCGAAGGAGUAGUGUUAAUCAUUUGGACAUGCUAGCAUGGGUGAUUACCAGGGAUGAAUGAGAUUCUAGGAGACCACUUGCAAGCAACAUACUACAAUGCAAGUUGUCAUACUUGCACAAAAUAAUAAUAGUGAUAUUUAUUUUUUACUUUCUAUGGUUAAUUCACGAUCGACCUCGUGGUUGCAUGCGCUCGGUCAAUUCCGACCACCUACUUUUGGGCAUUAUUAGAUGACAUAUUAUUGGAAAUCCUCCUAGGUGGCUGGCUACAUCAAGAGGUCGAGCUAGCAAACCGCACAGACCAAAAAACGUGAGCGGAUCAUUCGGUGGCCCCUAUAGUGACUUCUUCAUAAGUGAAUCGUGUGUUAUCCUCUAGGACUCAGGGCUUAGAGGGAAGGUCGGGAUGGUGGCAGACCGAACUUGGAGGCGUCUUGAGCAGGACACGCGGCAGAGCUGUGAUGUGACAAUGUCAGCCGAGGGAGGUGGAAGAUAAACGGUUGGGCUAGAGCGGGUUGAUGGUUCGAGGUGCUGCCAUCGGAGGCGGGGAAGAGGCAGAGAUUGCUGGUGGGGGUGCUUUAACGGUUGUGGCAUAAUCGUGGUCUCCGUGGCAACGGCGAUGGUUCCUAAUGGCAAAAUUCGGACACAGAUUUUCAUUUUUACAAUCCAAAAGCAGGUGGUCAGAAUUUAGCCUCGCACAUACUACUAUUUCUCCUUUUUUAUCUCUUCUUGUGUGUUUUUAUCUUUGUGAAGACAUAUAAAAAUUGAGAAAGGAUCCAUCAAUAGUGGGUCCACCUCGUGCGGAAAACAAGGAGAGGCGAUUGCAUGGCGAUCGUCUCGAGAGCUAGGGUUAGGGUUUUUCACACGGUGGUGGUGGGAUUCCGGUAGUGCGUGUAGGGACGACGGCGUCCUCCAGCGUGCGGACCGGCGUGCAUCUGCUCUCCCGUGGUGGUGCCAUGGCGGAGAGGAUGAGGAACGGAGCGGUGGCGGCGCAGGAGGCGGCGAGGGCUGAGAAGGUGGCGGCAACGCGCGAGGGCUGAGAAGGCGGCGGCAACACCGAGACCGUCGACACAAAAGGCGCAAGGGGCUUCCCCGAUGAAGACGCCACUGGGCGGAACGAGCAAGUUAUCUUCGCAGUCCCCUGCAGAUGGCAAGGGGUCGGCGGAGGCGGCGGGUCUGACGGCGCGAUUGGGCGGGCUGAUCUUGACAGAGAAGGAGGCCACGGGGUUUGUCUUCAAGGAUUCUGCGCAGGAACAGCCAAGGGCUGCAAGGUGGUCUGCAAUCGGAAAGGCGUUCACGCCAAGGAUGAUGAACCACCGUGCGCUAGAGAAGUCGAUGCCGAGAGCGUGCAACCUUCACCGGGAGGCUCAGUUUAAGAUCAUUGGUAGAAAUAUGUUUAUGGUCAACUUCGGCAGCAAAGGUGACUGGAAACAUGCUCUAAACAAUGGCCCUUGGCAGUUUGACUUCAAUGUGUUGGUUCUUAAGGACUAUGAUGGUGCAACUAGGCCAUUGGAGAUGAUUUUCGACUCAAUAGAGGCUUGGGUCAGAGUUGCAGAUCUCCCACUGGAUAAACGCUUGAAGGCUUUCGGUGAAGCACUUGGUAACUGGCUGGGUGAAGUAAUCCGUGUGGAUGUAGAGAAAGAUGGUUUUGCAAAGGGUACAGAGCUGAGCUUCAGGGCUAAACUCUCAAUUUUUGAACCUUUGGUGAGAGGAUUUUAUCUCAAAAAUCAGAAGAGGACCUAGAACAAACAUGGUUUGAUUUCACCUAUGAAAAGAUUCCGCACUUUUUGCUUCGAGUGCGGAUGUCUGGUACAUGGCAUAGAAGGAUGCAUUCCUCCUAUGAAGUCGGAUGAUCAGUGGGGUGAAUGGCUUAGAGCCUCAUCAGGCCAGGCUGUAUCUAUGAAAGAGGGAUCUUUUAGGGGACCAUCUGGAAGCGCUAACAGACAAGGAAGUGUUAGAUUAAACGAUGCUGAUAUAGGAAGGAGGAAGACUGGUUCGGUUCGCGAUGCUCCGACUAAACGUAAUUUGUAUCAAGAGUUUAAAAAUCCGGAGGCCACCCGCACUGGGGGGGGGGGGGGGGGGAGGGAUCAUGGAGAAGUAUCAAGCCCCAACAAACAGCGGCACAGGUUGGUUGAGUCUAGGGGCAAGGAUCUUAGAGAGGGGCUGGAACAGAAGAGAGAAAAAGACAUGCGCAAUGAACUCAGACAGAGACAACUAAACAUGCAGGCGGAGUUACGAGCUAACUACCAGCAAUAUAGCUCUUGGGAUCAUACUGGAGAUGGCAUGUGAAACCGGUAUAGAGAAAAGGAACGCAGAAAGGGCCACUAUGUGAGGAAGCCGAGACCGGGAUACGAGGAAUGUCGCUCUCCUAGGAGCCCAAGACACGAUUAUACAUGGGAAAGGAAGAGGAGGUCGAAGCAGCAAUGGGUAGCUAAAGGUGACUCUGACAGGUUUGCUAGUAAUGAUACCUUCAUUCGCGACAAAGGCAGAAAGUGUCUUUGGGGUUUAACCGUAUCUCCGAGCAUGAUGAAACAUCAGCGGACCUCACGGCGCGGGGCCGACGGGCACAAUGAAUAUCUUGGCUUGGAACUGUCGAGGACUGGGGUUGGACUCGACAGUGGGCGAACUACGGGACCUGAUACGGUCAUACAACCCAGCAGUGGUGUUUCUAAGUGAAACAAAAAAGAAAGACAUGGCGAUGGAGAAAAUCAAGUGGAGUUUGGGGUUCAGACCGGGGGUGGCGGUAAACUAUAAUGGGAAAAGUGGUGGUUUGGCCCUUUGGUGGAGGGAUACUAUGCAAGUAAAGGUUAGACCUUGGUGCCAAUAUUUUGUGGAUGCUGAAGUGGUCUGGGAAGGGAAAACCUGUAGAUUCACUGGUUUCUAUGGGGAGCCCAAUACCGAGUUGCGCAAGAAAUCAUGGGAUGCGAUACGUUACCUGCAAGCACAGGACAAUUUGCCGUGGCUGUGUGCGGGCGACUUCAAUGAAGCUCUGUUUCAGACCGAUCAACUAGGAGGCAACAGAGAAGUUCUGCAUAGAGGGAAGAUUUUAGAGAAUGCUUGGCCAACUGUGGCCUAGUUGAUCUGGGGUUCUCAGGCUACCCUUACACGUGGGACAACAAGAGGGAUGCGGAGAAUAACACACAAGUUCGUUUGGAUAGAGCCACUUGCGAUGAAGCUUUUCUCGAUCUCUUUCCGGAGACUACAGUUGAGCAUGUGAUGACCGAAGAGUCUAACCAUCAGGCUCUUGUGAUUAGGGCGAUGCAGACGGCUCCACGCCAGAAAUAGCGGGGAGACAUCCCUUUUCGGUUCGAGGAAGCAUGGACUAGAAAUGAACAAUACGACCAGAUGGUAGCUGAUGCAUGGCAAGCCUCGGACGUAGGAGACCAUGGAAUACGUGCAUGCAUGCAAAGGCUUGUGUCUCGGGCGGCAUGCAAUGGUGGGCAAGAGAAGUCUUCGGAUCCAUCAGGCGUCAGAUAUCCAAGUUAAAUAACCAGCUGGUGGAUGCGAAGAAAAGGGCUGUGGUCACGGGUUCCUCGCUGGAGGCCCGUGAGAUUGAAGAACAGCUGCGAGAAAUAUAUACCAGAGAAGAAAUUUUAUAUAAGCAGCGUUCACAAGUAGACUGGUUGAAGGCGGGGGAGCAAAACACCAAGUAUUUUUUAAAAUAGGGCCUCGCAUAGGAAGAGGAAGAAUACAGUCCGAGCGCUCAAGCGAGAGGAUGGUACAAAGUGCACGGUGGAUGAAGAAAUGAGGUAGAUGGUUGUGGCCUUUUAUGAACAACUAUUCACUUCAGAGGGGUCAGCUGGAGUUAAUGAGCUGCUGGGCAACAUAGUACCUUCCGUUACAACGCAAAUGAACGAGAGACUAACAAUAGCGAUUACAGACGAUGAAAUUGAAAGGGAUUUGUUUCAAAUGGGACCUACUAAGGCGUCGGGGCUAGAUGGAUUACCUGCACUUUUUUUACCAAAGACACUGGUCUCUGGUAAAGGAUGAUGUGUGCAGGGCUAUUAAGGGUUUCUUAUACGGGGAGGCAACUCCUGAGGCUUUUAAUGAGACGUUCAUUGUUAUGAUUCCUAAAGUUAACUCACGGGAGUUGCUUACACAAUUCAGACCGAUCAGCCUGUGUAAUGUUCUUUAUAAAAUUGCCACGAAGGUCUUGGCGAAUAGGUUAAAGUGUUUUCUUCCUGUCCUUAUUUCCGAGGAACAAAGUGCUUUUGUACCCGGUCGUUUAAUCACUGACAAUGUCCUUGUGGCAUAUGAGUGUGUGAAUGCUAUUUGUAAUAGGAAGAGGAAGAAGCACUUGUGCGCGGUCAAGCUAGAUAUGACGAAGGCCUACGAUAGGAUCGAGUGGACUUUCCUGCAAAAGAUGCUGGCGCGAGUGGGGUUCGCUACAUAAUGGAUUUCCAUGAUCAUGCGUUGUGUGACUACAACAAGGUUCUCAGUAAAGCUAAAUGGAGGCCUUUCUAGAGGCUUCAUUCCAUCCCGCGAACUAAGGCAGGGGGACCCAUUAUCGCCGUACCUUUUUCUGUUCUGUGUUGAGGGCUUUUCUGCUCUGUUAAGGAAGGCACAAGAGAAAAAGUGGAUCAAGGGAGUUUCUUUCGGGAGCACUGGUCCCCAUGUUACACACCUCCUGUUUGCAGACGAUAGUAUUGUUGUCGUUGAGGGAUCCACUGAAACAUGCUGGCCUUGAAAGAGAUUCUUAGGAAAUAUGAGGAAGCAUCUGGGCGACGUGUUAAUCUGCAGAAGUUGGCAAUAUUCUUUGGCAAAGGGAGUCAAGAGAAUGCAAAGGUACAACUAAAAAAUAUCUUGGGUGUGGACAAUGAAGCACUCAGCAAAAGAUAUUUGGGCCUCCCAACACUGGUUGGUAGGUCCAAAGAAGGGACUUUCAAAUAUGUUACUGAGUGUUCGAAAGUAAAAGUUAAUGGUUUGAAGGGUCAAGGACUUUCUAAGGCUAUGCGAGAUGUACUUGUCAAAUCUGUCCUCCAAACCACACCUACUUACACCAUGAGUUGUUUUCAUCUCACAAAGAAAAUGUGCCGGAACCUGUCGUGGAACUGUCACGUCAGAUGUCCUCGUGAAAGGACUUAGUUGUGGAGCCAUCGCAACUAGGAAGCUUGAAGGGGUUAAAUCGGGACAAAGGACACGAGAGGGUUUAUACUAAUUCGGCCCCUUACGGUGAAGGUAAGGCCUACGUCUAGUUGGGUUGGUAUUGAUGUUUCGAUGACCAGGGAGCGAGACACGCUAUGCCUGGUUCUCGAUGAGUUGUUUUCUUCUCCUAAGCCGCCAGCCGGUCGUCCCCUUAUAUACAUGGGUGGACGCCCUGCGGCUUACAGAGUCCCGGCCGGCUCAUAAACAAUGUCCGGCUCGGUGACUAGUUAAGUCUACCUUAUGAUACAAGUAAUAUCCUUACAGCGGUUUACUACAACGGGCCUUAAGUCGCCAGUGGGCCUUAAGUCCAUCUUGAACCGCUAUCUUCAUGCUUGGCCUUGGGCUUCUCUCUGAUGAGGAUCUUUGCGUAACCCGACCCCUCUUGGGCGGCUUACACAAAUAGCUAUAUUCCCAACAUUAGGCCCCAGAUUGAUUUGAACCUGUUCAUGUCAAUCUAAAAAAUAUUUUUAAAGAAUUAAAUCUUCAGCCUUCUUGACUAUACGAAGGGUUUCUUUAACCCGCCAUGACGUCAUCUUCUGGAUCCGUGUUAACCCGGCGUGACAUCAUCCUUUCUUUAAUUCAUUUUUUAUUCCGUCGAAUCUUUCAACAGAUCUCUAUCUUUACUGACCAUCCCGAGAAUCGAGGCGCCAGAGCCGCUGGAUAAUAAAUGUUAUCUCCUUGUUUUUCGUGCCCUCUUGGUCAAUCUUCUCUUAUAAAUAGGGCGACCUAGGUCUUGUCCCCAGUCGUCUUCUUCUUCUCCUCUCUGCCACUCGAGCUCCGCUGCUGUCGCCGUCGACUCCCUUGUCUUCAUCGACUAAGGCCGCUACAUCGACCUGACCUUGACCAGAGAUCGACGGCAAACCUCCGUAGUGUCUCCUCAUCUGUGAGUUCUUCCUCCUUGCUCCUCAGAUCCGCAUUAGGGCCUUCGAGUUCUUCGUGUUCUUCGUUGCUCAUUAGGAACCCCUCGUAGAUCUGCUCACUACCGUCGUUUUGAUCUUUAAAAACGGUAGAAACCUGAUGCGGUAGCUGUAUCGCACCCACUUUGAUUGCAAGUAGGUCCCUUUCUGUCGCACCGAAGCUUUGUUUGAGCCCUUGAACUUCAUCUGUGCCAGUUCUAGGUCUAGAAGAUUUUCUUUUUAGAACAGCUAUUUGAUCCAAAAUAAUAACAGCAACUUUGUAAAACCUGUUUGUGUCACCCGGAAGUAAAAAACUGCCUCAGCCGAAUAUGUUUAACUGCUCUUUGACACCUGUAGUGGCUUAAUAUUUAUUGCACAAUCACCCUUAUAUCAUUAGGCCCCUUUCUUUAAGCCGCCACCUUGAAUAAUUUUAAAUAUUUCUCCCGGGUUAAAGUUGAACCGGAGCUUUUUAUUGUGUCGUAGGCCACUGUCGUCAUGGCUCCUAAGGCGGCCAAAGCCCCUGUGACUUGCAAUUGGGUUCCAUCCACAGUGACAAAAAGCAAACUUGCCGAGUUUGUGAAGUCCGGCCAUCUGCCAAAGAGGGAGGUCAUGUCUUACCGUGCCCCUAACCCAUCUGAGGAAGUACCUCAACCCAAAGACGGGGAGGUAGUAGUUUUUAUGGAUCACAUGAGCCGGGGAUUUGCUCCUCCCAGUUCAAAAUUCUUCUGGGAGGUUUUGAAUUUCUUUGAUCUCAGACCUCAAGACAUCGGACCCAACUCCGUGUCAAAUAUUUGCAAUUUCCAAGUCUUCUGCGAGGUGUACCUGGGACAAGAGCCAAGUCUCCUAUUGUUUAGGGAACUUUUCUACAUGAACCGACAAAAUGAACGUGCCAACGGGCCGAGUCUUGAGCUUGGCGGCAUCUCAAUCCAGCAACGGAGAGAUUGCCUUUUUCCUUAUACUGAGCUGUCGAGUCACCCCAAGUCUUGGAACCAAACGUGGUUCUAUUGUCAAGAUACCUCACCGGUUGAUGAGAAGCCCCUGCCCGGCUUUCGCGCCCUGCGCCUCGAAUCUAAUCAUCCGUUGGCAGAUAAGUUAUCCACUGUUGAGCGCCUGCCCCUCAACCCCACCAUUAGGAAGAUCAAAGCUCUUCUUGGGAACGGGUUAAAUGGUAUCAAUCUGGUUUGAGUCUGGGUCACCUGGCGGAUAUUACCAUUAAGCCGCCGCUCCGGCUUAAUGUGCACCUAUCCAGGCGAAAAGGAUGACCCAAUGCGUCAAAGUCCUGAUGAUCUCCCAGAUGAUGUUAUAGAUGCUACAGUCCAAUCUUUGUUGAAGGAGGGUACUGUGACCAGUAAUGCCUUCGGCUUACUGCCCUUCUGCAAGAAGAACCCGGCCCCUACGGUAAGUUAUCAAUCUUCAAGAAUACCUUUUAACAUAUUAUGCCUUCUUGUAUUUAUGAUUCCUCAUCUUUUUCCACAGGCCGAUGACAAUUUCUGGAAGGUCAAGUAUGACCACGAGGCCGCCAAGCAAGCCAGGGCAGCCAAGAAAACUGAAAGAAAAACUGCCAAGACGGGAACCUCAAGGAAGAAGAAACCCAGUGCUUCUGACUUGCUCAAAUUGGAUGAUACUUCUUGGUCUAAUGAAGAGGUAAUUCUUUAAUUUUCUUAACUCCCCUGUUGCUAUUUUAUUGACAUUCUUGUUGGAAAUAUUCCCUAGAGGCAAUAAUAAAAGUAUUAUUAUAUUUCAUUGUUCAUGAUAAUUGUCUUUUAUUCAUGCUAUAACUGUAUUAUCCGGAAAUCGUAAUACACGUGUGAAUACUUAGACCACACUAUGUCCCUGGUAAGCCUCUAGUUGACCAGCUCGUUGUGAUCAACAGAUAGUCAUGGUUUCCUGACUAUGGACAUUGGAUGUCGUUGAUAACGGGAUCACAUCAUUAGGAGAAUGAUGUGAUGGACAAGACCCAAUCCUAAGCAUAGCAUAAAAGAUCGUGUAGUUCGUUUUGCUAGAGCUUUGCAAGUGUCAAGUAUCUCUUCCUUCGACCAUGAGAUCGUGUAACUCCCGGAUACCAUAAGAGUGCCUUGGGUGUAUCAAACGUCACAACGUAACUGGGUGACUAUAAAGGUGCAUUACAGGUAUCUCCGAAAGUAGCUGUUGGGUUGACACGGAUCGGGACUGGGAUUUGUCACUCCGUAUGACGGAGAGGUAUCUCUGGGCCCACUCGGUAAUGCAUCAUCAUAAUGAGCUCAAUGUGACCAAGGUGUUGGACACGGGAUCAUGCAUUACGGUACGAGUAAAGUGACUUGCCGGUAACGAGACUGGACAAGGUAUUGGGAUACCGACGAUCGAGUCUCGGGCAAGUAACGUACCGAUUGACAAAGGGAAUUGCAUACAGGGUUUGAUUGAAUCCUCGACAUAGUGGUUCAUCCGAUGACAACAUCGAGGAGCAUGUGGGAGCCAUCAUGGGUAUCCAGAUCCCGCUGAUGGUUAUUGACUGAGAGCGUCUCGGUCAUGUCUGCAUGUCUCCCGAACCCGUAGGGUCUACACACUUAAGGUUCGGUGACGCUAGGGUUAUGAAGAUAUGUAUAUGCAGAAACCCGAAUGUUGUUCGGAGUCCCGGAUGAGAUCCCGGACGUCACGAGGAGUUCCGGAAUGGUCCGGAGGUAAAGAAUUAUAUAUAGGAAGUGCUGUUUCGGGCAUCGGGACAAGUUUCGGGGUUAUCGGUAUUGUACCGGGACCACCGGAAGGGUCCCGGGGGUCCACCGGGUGGGGCCACCUGUCCCGGGGGGCCACAUGGGCUGUAGGGGGUGCGCCUUGGCCAUCAUGGGCCAAGGGCACCAGCCCCUAUAGGCCCAUGCGCCUAGGGUUUCCCCCUAGGAGGAGUCCUAGUGGUGGAAGGCACCCCUAGGUGCCUUGGGGGGGAGGGAAACCUCCCCUAGGCCGCCGCCCCCCCUAGUAGAUCUCAUCUACUAGGGCCGGCGCCCCCCCUUGGCACCCCUAUAUAUAGUGGGGGAGAGGAGGGACUUCAUACACCGGCCCCUGGCGCCUCCACCUCCCCCCGUUACGUCUCUCCCUCGUAGUCUCGGCGAAGCCCUGCUGCUGUGACGCCCUGCAUCCACCACCACGCCGUCGUGCUGCUGGAUCUUCAUCAACCUCUCCUUCCCCCUUGCUGGAUCAAGAAGGAGGAGACGUCUCCCGUCCCGUACGUGUGUUGAACGCGGAGGUGCCGUCCGUUCGGCGCUGGUCAUCGGUGAUUUGGAUCACGUCGAGUACGACUACAUCAUCACCUUGCAAGCUUCCGCACGCGAUCUACAAGUGGUAUGUAGAUGCAAACUCUCUCCCUAGACUCGUUGCUUAGAUGAACUCAUAGAUGGAUCUUGGUGAAACCGUAGGAAAAAAUUUAAUUUUCUGCAACGUUCCCCAACAGUGGCAUCAUGAGCUAGGUCUAUGCGUAGUUCUCUAUGCACGAGUAGAACACAACUUUGUUGUGGGCGUGGAUUUUGUCAUCUUACUUGCCUCUACUAGUCUUUUCUUGCUCAACGGUAUUGUGGGAUGAAGCGGCCCGGACCAACCUUACACGUACACUUACGUGAGACCGGUUCCACCGACUGACAUGCACAAGUUGCAUAAGGUGGCUGGCGGGUGUCUGUCUCUCCCACCUUAGUUGGAGCGGAAUCAAUGAACAGGGCCCUUAUGAAGGGUAAAUAGAAGUUGACAAAAUCACGUUGUGGUGAUUCGUAGGUAAGAAAACGUUCUUGCUAGAACCCAAUUGCAGCCACGUAAAAGAUGCAACAACAAUUAGAGGACGUCUAACUUGUUUUUGCAGCGAUUGAUCAUGUGAUGUGAUAUGGCCAGAAGUUGUGAUGAAUGAUGAAUUGUGAUGUAUGAGAUCAUGUUCUUUGUAAUAGGAUUCACGACUUGCAUGUCGAUGAGUAUGACAACCGGCAGGAGCCAUAGGAGUUGUCAUUAUUUUUUUGUAUGACCUGCGUGUCAUUGAAUAAACGUCAUGUAAACUACUUUACUUUAUUGCUAAACGUUAGUCAUAGAAGUAGAAGUAGUCGUUGGCGUGACAACUUCAUGAAGACACGAUGAUGGAGAUCAUGAUGAUGGAGAUCAUGGUGUCAAGCCGGUGACAAGAUGAUCAUGGAGCCCCGAAGAUGAAGAUCAAUGGAGCUAUAUGAUAUUGGCCAUAUCAUGUCACAACUAUAUAAUUGCAUGUGAUGUUUAUUAUGUAUUAUGCAUCUUGUUUACUUAGGACGACGGUAGUAAAUAAGAUGAUCCCUUAUAAAAUUUCAAGAAGUGUUCUCCCCUAACUGUGCACCGUUGCUACAGUUCGUCGUUUCUAAGCACCACGUGAUGAUCGGGUGUGAUGGAUUCUUACGUUCACAUACAACGGGUGUAAGACAGUUUUACACAGCGAAAACACUUAGGGUUUACUUGACGAGCCUAGCAUGUGCAGACAUGGCCUCAGAACAUGGAGACCGAAAGGUCGAACACGAGUCGUAUGGAAGAUACGAUCAACAUGAAAAUGUUCACCGACGAUGACUAGUCCGUCUCACGUGAUGAUCGGACAUGGGCUAGUCGACUCGGAUCGUGUAACACUUAGAUGACUAAAGGGAUGUCUAAUCUAAGUGUGAGUUCAUAAUUUGAUUAGAACUUUAUUAUCAUGAACUUAGUCUAAAACCUUUGCAAAUAUGUCUUGUAGAUCAAUGGCCAACGCUAAUGUCAACAUGAACUUCAACGCGUUCCUAGAGAAAACCAAGCUGAAAGAUGAUGGCAGCAACUAUACGGACUGGGUCCGGAACUUGAGGAUCAUCCUCAUAGCUGCCAGGAAACAAUAUGUCCUAGAAGGACCGCUAGGUGACGCUCCCGUCCCAGAGAACCAAGACAUUAUGAAUGCUUGGCAGUCUCGCGCUGAUGAUUACUCCCUCGUUCAGUGCGGCAUGCUUUACAGCUUAGAACCGGGGCUCCAAAAGCGUUUUGAGCAUCACGGAGCAUAUGAGAUGUUCGAAGAGCUGAAACUAGUUUUCCAAGCUCAUGCCCGGGUCGAGAGAUAUGAUGUCUCCGACAAGUUCUACAGUUGUAAGAUGGAGGAGAACAGUUCUGUCAGUGAGCACAUCCUGAAGAUGUCUGGGUUGCACAACCGUAUGACCCAGCUGAACAUUAACCUCCCAGAUGAGGCGGUCAUUGACAGAAUCCUCCAGUCGCUCCCACCAAGCUACAAGAGCUUUGUGAUGAACUACAACAUGCAGGGAAUGGAAAAGACCAUUCCUGAAGUGUUCUCGAUGCUGAAGUCAGCAGAGGCUGAAAUCAAGAAAGAACAUCAAGUGUUGAUGGUCAAUAAGACCACUAAGUUCAAGAAGGGCAAGGGUAAGAAGAACUUCAAGAAGGACGGCAAAGAUGUUGCCGCGCUUGGUAAGCCAGUUACCGGGAAGAAGUCAAAGAAUGGACCCAAGCCUGAGACUGAGUGCUUUUAUUGCAAGGGGAAGGGUCACUGGAAGCGGAACUGCCCCAAAUACUUAGCGGAUAAGAAGGCCGGCAACACCAAAGGUAUAUUUGAUAUACAUGUGAUUGAUGUGUACCUUACCAGUACUCGUAGUAACUCCUGGGUAUUUGAUACCGGUGCCGUUGCUCAUAUUUGUAACUCACAACAGGAGCUGCGGAAUAAACGGAGACUGGCGAAGGACGAGGUGACGAUGCGCGUCGGGAAUGGUUCCAGAGUCGAUGUGAUCGCCGUCGGCACGCUGCCUCUACAUUUACCUACGGGAUUAGUUUUGAACCUUAAUAAUUGUUAUUUAGUGCCAAGUUUGAGCAUGAACAUUGUAUCAGGAUCUCGUUUAAUACGAGAUGGCUACUCAUUUAAGUCUGAGAAUAAUGGUUGUUCGAUUUAUAUGAGAGAUAUGUUUUAUGGUCAUGCGCCGAUGGUCAAUGGUUUAUUCUUAAUGAAUCUCGAACGUAAUAUUACACAUGUUCACAGUGUAGAUGCCAAAAGAUUUAAAGUUGAUAACGAUAGUCCCACAUACUUGUGGCACUGCCGCCUUGGUCACAUUGGUGUCAAGCGCAUGAAGAAGCUCCAUGCCGAUGGACUUUUAGAGUCUCUUGAUUAUGAAUCGUUUGACACGUGCGAACCAUGCCUCUUGGGCAAAAUGACCAAGACUCCGUUCUCCGGAACAAUGGAGCGAGCAACCAACUUGUUGGAAAUCAUACAUACCGAUGUGUGCGGUCCAAUGAGCGUUGAGGCUCGCGGAGGAUAUCGUUAUGUUCUCACUCUCACAGAUGACUUGAGUAGAUAUGGGUAUGUCUACUUAAUGAAACACAAGUCUGAGACCUUUGAAAAGUUCAAGGAAUUUCAGAAUGAGGUGGAGAAUCAACGUGACCGAAAGAUAAAAUUCUUACGAUCAGAUCGUGGAGGAGAAUACUUAAGUCACGAAUUUGGUACACACUUAAAGAAAUGUGGAAUCGUUUCACAGCUGACGCCGCCUGGAACACCUCAGCGAAACGGUGUGUCCGAACGUCGUAAUCGCACUCUAUUGGAUAUGGUGCGGUCUAUGAUGUCUCUUACCGAUUUACCGCUAUCAUUUUGGGGAUACGCUCUAGAGACAGCUACAUUCACUUUAAAUAGGGCACCGUCUAAAUCCGUUGAGACGACACCGUAUGAAUUAUGGUUUCGAAAGAAACCUAAGCUGUCGUUUCUAAAAGUUUGGGGAUGCGAAGCUUAUGUCAAGAAACUUCAACCUGAAAAGCUCGAACCCAAGUCGGAAAAAUGCGUAUUCAUAGGAUACCCUAAGGAAACUGUAGGGUAUACCUUCUACUUAAGAUCCGAAGGCAAGAUCUUUGUUGCCAAGAAUGGAUGCUUUCUGGAAAAAGAGUUUCUCUCGAAAGAAGUAAGUGGGAGGAAAGUAGAACUCGAUGAAGUACUACCUCUUGAGCGGGAUAGUGACGCAGCACAGGAAACCGUUCCUGUGAUGCCCACACCAACUGAAGAGGAAAACCAUGAUAAUGAUCAAGGUACUUCGGAUCAAGUUACUGCUGAACUUCGUAGGUCCACAAGGACACGUUCCGCACCAGAGUGGUGCGGCAAUCCUGUCCUGGAAAUCAUGUUGUUAGACAACAAUGAACCUUCGAACUAUGAAGAAGCAAUGGCGGGCCCGGAUUCCAACAAAUGGCUUGAAGCCAUGAAAUCCGAGAUAGAAUCCAUGUAUGAAAACAAAGUAUGGACUUUGACAGACUUGCCCGAUGAUCGGCGAGCGAUAGAAAACAAAUGGAUCUUUAAGAAGAAGACGGACGCGGAUGGUAAUGUUACCAUCUAUAAAGCUCGACUUGUCGCUAAGGGUUAUCGACAGGUUCAAGGGAUUGACUACGACGAGACAUUCUCUCCCGUAGCGAAACUAAAGUCCGUCCGAAUCAUGUUAGCAAUUGCCGCAUACUAUGAUUAUGAGAUAUGGCAGAUGGACGUCAAAACAGCAUUCCUUAACGGGCAUCUUAAGGAAGAACUGUAUAUGAUGCAGCCGGAAGGUUUUGUCGAUCCUCGGAACGCUAACAAAGUAUGCAAGCUCCAGCGAUCCAUUUAUGGACUGGUGCAAGCAUCUCGGAGUUGGAACAUUCGCUUUGAUGAGAUGAUCAAAGCGUUUGGGUUUAUGCAGACUUAUGGAGAAGCCUGCGUUUACAAGAAAGUGAGUGGGAGCUCUGUAGCAUUUCUCAUAUUAUAUGUAGAUGACAUACUCCUGAUGGGAAAUAAUAUAGAAUUUCUGGACAGCAUUAAGGCCUACUUGAAUAAGUGUUUUUCAAUGAAGGACCUUGGAGAAGCUGCUUAUAUAUUAGGCAUCAAGAUCUAUAGAGAUAGAUCGAGACGCCUCAUAGGUCUUUCACAAAGCACAUACCUUGAUAAGAUUUUGAAGAGAUUCAGAAUGGAUCAGUCCAACAAGGGGUUCUUGCCUAUGUUACAAGGUAUGAGACUGAGCUCAGCUCAGUCACCGACCACGGCAAAAGAUAAAGAAGAGAUGAGUGUCAUCCCCUAUGCUUCAGCCAUAGGAUCUAUUAUGUAUGCCAUGCUGUGUACCAGACCCGAUGUAAACCUUGCCGUAAGUUUGGUAGCUAGAUAUCAAAGUAAUCCCGGCAAGGAACACUGGACAGCGGUCAAGAAUAUCCUGAAGUACCUGAAAAGGACAAAGGACAUGUUUCUCGUUUAUGGAGGAGACGAAGAGCUCGUCGUAAAGGGUUACGUCGACGCUAGCUUCGACUCAGAUCUGGAUGACUCUAAGUCACAAACCGGAUACGUGUAUAUGUUGAAUGGUGGAGCAGUAAGCUGGUGCAGCUGCAAGCAGAGUGUCGUGGCGGGAUCUACGUGUGAAGCGGAGUACAUGGCAGCCUCGGAGGCAGCACAUGAAGCGAUUUGGGUGAAGGAGUUCAUCACCGACCUAGGAGUCAUACCCAAUGCGUCGGGGCCGAUCAAACUCUUCUGUGACAACACUGGAGCUAUUGCCCUCGCAAAGGAGCCCAGGUUUCACAAGAAGACCAGGCACAUCAAGCGUCGUUUCAACUCCAUCCGUGAAAAUGUUCAAGAUGGAGACAUAGAGAUUUGCAAAGUGCACACGGAUCUGAAUGUCGCAGAUCCGCUGACUAAACCUCUCUCGCAUGCAAAACAUGAUCAACACCAGAACUCUAUGGGUGUUCGAUUCAUCACAAUGUAACUAGAUUGGUGACUCUAGUGCAAGUGGGAGACUGUUGGAAAUAUGCCCUAGAGGCAAUAAUAAAAGUAUUAUUAUAUUUCAUUGUUCAUGAUAAUUGUCUUUUAUUCAUGCUAUAACUGUAUUAUCCGGAAAUCGUAAUACACGUGUGAAUACUUAGACCACACUAUGUCCCUGGUAAGCCUCUAGUUGACCAGCUCGUUGUGAUCAACAGAUAGUCAUGGUUUCCUGACUAUGGACAUUGGAUGUCGUUGAUAACGGGAUCACAUCAUUAGGAGAAUGAUGUGAUGGACAAGACCCAAUCCUAAGCAUAGCAUAAAAGAUCGUGUAGUUUGUUUUGCUAGAGCUUUGCAAGUGUCAAGUAUCUCUUCCUUCGACCAUGAGAUCGUGUAACUCCCGGAUACCGUAAGAGUGCCUUGGGUGUAUCAAACGUCACAACGUAACUGGGUGACUAUAAAGGUGCAUUACAGGUAUCUCCGAAAGUAGCUGUUGGGUUGACACGGAUCGAGACUGGGAUUUGUCACUCCGUAUGACGGAGAGGUAUCUCUGGGCCCACUCGGUAAUGCAUCAUCAUAAUGAGCUCAAUGUGACCAAGGUGUUGGACACGGGAUCAUGCAUUACGGUACGAGUAAAGUGACUUGCCGGUAACGAGACUGAACAAGGUAUUGGGAUACCGACGAUCGAGUCUCGGGCAAGUAACGUACCGAUUGACAAAGGGAAUUGCAUACAGGGUUUGAUCGAAUCCUCGACAUAGUGGUUCAUCCAAUGACAACAUCGAGGAGCAUGUGGGAUCCAUCAUGGGUAUCCAGAUCCCGCUGAUGGUUAUUGACUGAGAGCGUCUCGGUCAUGUCUGCAUGUCUCCCGAACCCGUAGGGUCUACACACUUAAGGUUCGGUGACGCUAGGGUUAUGAAGAUAUGUAUAUGCAGAAACCCGAAUGUUGUUCGGAGUCCUGGAUGAGAUCCCGGACGUCACGAGGAGUUCCGGAAUGGUCCGGAGGUAAAGAAUUAUAUAUAGGAAGUGCUGUUUCGGGCAUCGGGACAAGUUUCGGGGUUAUCGGUAUUGUACCGGGACCACCGGAAGGGUCCCGGGGGUCCACCGGGUGGGGACACCUGUCCCGGGGGGCCACAUGGGCUGUAGGGGGUGCGCCUUGGCCAUCAUGGGCCAAGGGCACCAGCCCCUAUAGGCCCAUGCGCCUAGGGUUUUGUUGGAAAUAUGCCCUAGAGGCAAUAAUAAAAGUAUUAUUAUAUUUCAUUGUUCAUGAUAAUUGUCUUUUAUUCAUGCUAUAACUGUAUUAUCCGGAAAUCGUAAUACACGUGUGAAUACUUAGACCACACAAUGUCCCUGGUAAGCCUCUAGUUGAUCAGCUUGUUGUGAUCAACAGAUAGUCAUGGUUUCCUGACUAUGGACAUUGGAUGUCGUUGAUAACGGGAUCACAUCAUUAGGAGAAUGAUGUGAUGGACAAGACCCAAUCCUAAGCAUAGCAUAAAAGAUCGUGUAGUUCGUUUUGCUAGAGCUUUGCAAGUGUCAAGUAUCUCUUCCUUCGACCAUGAGAUCGUGUAACUCCCGGAUACCGUAAGAGUACCUUGGGUGUACCAAACGUCACAACGUAACUGGGUGACUAUAAAGGUGCAUUACAGGUAUCUCCGAAAGUAGCUGUUGGGUUGACACGGAUCGAGAUUGGGAUUUGUCACUCCGUAUGACGGAGAGGUAUCUCUGGGCCCACUCGGUAAUGCAUCAUCAUAUUGAGCUCAAUGUGACCAAGGUGUUGGACACGGGAUCAUGCAUUACGGUACGAGUAAAGUGACUUGCCGGUAACGAGACUGAACAAGGUAUUGGGAUACCGACGAUCGAGUCUCGGGCAAGUAACGUACCGAUUGACAAAGGGAGUUGCAUACAAGGUUUGAUCGAAUCCUCGACAUAGUGGUUCAUCCGAUGACAACAUCGAGGAGCAUGUGGGAGCCAUCAUGGGUAUCCAGAUCCCAUUGAUGGUUAUUGACUGAGAGAGUCUCGGUCAUGUCUGCAUGUCUCCCGAACCCGUAGGGUCUACACACUUAAGGUUCAGUUACGCUAGGGUUAUAGGGAUAUGUAUAUGCAGUAACCCGAAUGUUGUUCGGAGUCCCGGAUGAGAUCCCGGACGUCACGAGGAGUUCCGGAAUGGUCCGGAGGUAAAGAUUUAUAUAUGGGAAGUCCUGUUUCGGGCAUCGGGACAAGUUUCGGGGUUAUCGGUAUUGUACCGGGACCACCGGAAGGGUCCCGGGGGUCCACCGGGUGGGUCCACCUGUCCCGGGGGGGCACAUGGGCUGUAAGGGGGUGCGCCUUGGCCUAAUGGGCCAAGGGCACCAGCCCCACAUAGGCCCAUGCGCCUAGGGUUUUAGGGGGCAAGAGUCCUAGGAGGGUAAGGCACCUCCUAGGUGCCUUGGGGGGAGGGAAAACCCCCCUUGGCCGCCGCACCCCAUAGGAGAUUGGAUCUCCUAGGGCCGGCCACCCCCCCUUGGCACCCCUAUAUAUAGUGGGGGAGAGGAGGGACUUCAUACCUGAACGCCCUGGCCUUUGGUUGCCUCCUUCUCCCUCCCCAACACCUCCUCCACCUCCAUAGUGCUUAGCGAAGCUCUGCCGGAGUACUGCAGCUCCAUCAACACCACGCCGUCGUGCUGCUGCUGGUGCCAUCUCCCUCAACCUCUCCUCCCUUCCUUGCUGGAUCAAGAAGGAGGAGACAUGGCUGUUCCGUACGUGUGUUGAACGCGGAGGUGCCGUCCGUUCGGCGCUGGUCAUCGGUGAUUUGGAUCACGUCGAGUACGACUACAUCAUCACCUUGCAAGCUUCCGCACGCGAUCUACAAGUGGUAUGUAGAUGCGAACGCUCUCCCUAGACUCGUUGCUUAGAUGAACUCAUAGAUGGAUCUUGGUGAAACCGUAGGAAAAAUUUUAAUUUUCUGCAAUGUUCCCCAACAGUGGCAUCAUGAGCUAGGUCUAUACGUAGUUCUCUUUGCACGAGUAGAACACAACUUUGUUGUGGGCGUGGAUUUUGUCAUCUUACUUGCCUCUACUAGUCUUUUCUUGCUCAAUGGUAUUGUGGGAUGAAGCGGCCCGGACCAACCUUACACGUACUCUUACGUGAGACCGGUUCCACCGACUGACAUGCACAAGUUGCAUAAGGUGGCUGGCGGGUGUCUGUCUCUCCCACCUUAGUUGGAGCGGAAUUGAUGAACAGGGCCCUUAUGAAGGGUAAAUAGAAGUUGACAAAAUCACGUUGUGGUGAUUCAUAGGUAAGAAAACGUUCUUGCUAGAACCCAAUUGCAGCCACGUAAAAGAUGCAACAACAAUUAGAGGACGUCUAACUUGUUUUUGCAGCGAUUGAUCAUGUGAUGUGAUAUGGCCAGAAGUUGUGAUGAAUGAUGAAUUGUGAUGUAUGAGAUCAUGUUCUUUGUAAUAGGAUUCACGACUUGCAUGUUGAUGAGUAUGACAACCGGCAGGAGCCAUAGGAGUUGUCAUUAUUUUUUUGUAUGACCUGCGUGUCAUUGAAUAACGUCAUGUAAACUACUUUACUUUAAUGCUAAACGUUAGUCAUAGAAGUAGAAGUAGUCGUUGGCGUGACAACUUCAUGAAGACACGAUGAUGGAGAUCAUGAUGAUGGAGAUCAUGGUGUCAAGCCGGUGACAAGAUGAUCAUGGAGCCCCGAAGAUGAAGAUCAAUGGAGCUAUAUGAUAUUGGCCAUAUCAUGUCACAACUAUAUAAUUGCAUGUGAUGUUUAUUAUGUAUUAUGCAUCUUGUUUACUUAGGACGAUGGUAGUAAAAAAAGAUGAUCCCUUAUAAAAAUUUCAAGAAGUGUUCCCCCCUAACUGUGCACCGUUGCUACAGUUCGUCGUUUCUAAGCACCACGUGAUGAUCGGGUGUGAUGGAUUCUUACGUUCACAUACAACGGGUGUAAGACAGUUUUACACAGCGAAAACACUUAGGGUUAACUUGACGAGCCUAGCAUGUGCAGACAUGGCCUCGGAACACGGAGACCGAAAGGUCGAACACGAGUCGUAUGGAAGAUACGAUCAACGUGAAAAUGUUCUCCGACGAUGACUAGUCCGUCUCACGUGAUGAUCGGACACGGACUAGUCGACUCGGAUCGUGUAACACUUAGAUGACUAAAGGGAUGUCUAAUCUAAGUGGGAGUUCAUAAUUUGAUUAGAACUUUAUUAUCAUGAACUUAGUUUAAAACCUUUGCAAAUAUGUCUUGUAGAUCAAUGGCCAACGCUAAUGUCAACAUGAACUUCAACGCGUUCCUAGAGAAAACCAAGCUGAAAGAUGAUGGCAGCAACUAUACGGACUGGGUCCGGAACCUGAGGAUCAUCCUCAUAGCUGCCAGGAAACAAUAUGUCCUAGAAGGACCGCUAGGUGACGCUCCCGUCCCAGAGAACCAAGACAUUACGAAUGCUUGGCAGUCUCGCGCUGAUGAUUACUCCCUCGUUCAGUGCGGCAUGCUUUACAGCUUAGAACCGGGGCUCCAAAAGCGUUUUGAGCAUCACGGACCAUAUGAGAUGUUCGAAGAGCUGAAACUAGUUUUUCAAGCUCAUGCCCGGGUCGAGAGAUAUGAUGUCUCCGACAAGUUCUACAGUUGUAAGAUGGAGGAAAACAGUUCUGUCAGUGAGCACAUCCUGAAGAUGUCUGGGUUGCACAACCGUAUGACCCAGCUGAACAUUAACCUCCCAGAUGAGGCGGUCAUUGACAGAAUCCUCCAGUCGCUCCCACCAAGCUACAAGAGCUUUGUGAUGAACUACAACAUGCAGGGAAUGGAAAAGACCAUUCCUGAAGUGUUCUCGAUGCUGAAGUCAGCAGAGGCUGAAAUCAAGAAAGAACAUCAAGUGUUGAUGGUCAAUAAGACCACUAAGUUCAAGAAGGGUAAGGGUAAGAAGAACUUCAAGAAGGACGGCAAAGAUGUUGCCGCGCCUGGUAAGCCAGUUACCGGGAAGAAGUCAAAGAAUGGACCCAAGCCUGAGACUGAGUGCUUUUAUUGCAAGGGGAAGGGUCACUGGAAGCGGAACUGCCCCAAAUACUUAGCGGAUAAGAAGGCCGGCAACACCAAAGGUAUAUUUGAUAUACAUGUGAUUGAUGUGUACCUUACCAGUAAUUGUAGUAACUCCUGGGUAUUUGAUACCGGUGCCGUUGCUCAUAUUUGUAACUCACAGCAGGAGCUGCGGAAUAAACGGAGACUGGCAAAGGACGAGGUGACGAUGCGCGUCGGGAAUGGUUCCAGAGUCGAUGUGAUCGCCGUCGGCACGCUGCCUCUACAUUUACCUACGGGAUUAGUUUUGAACCUUAAUAAUUGUUAUUUAGUGCCAAGUUUGAGCAUGAACAUUGUAUCAGGAUCUCGUUUAAUACGAGAUGGCUACUCAUUUAAGUCUGAGAAUAAUGGUUGUUCGAUUUAUAUGAGAGAUAUGUUUUAUGGUCAUGCUCCGAUGGUCAAUGGUUUAUUCUUAAUGAAUCUCGAGCGUAAUAUUACACAUGUUCAUAGUGUAGAUGCCAAAAGAUUUAAAGUUGAUAACGAUAGUCCCACAUACUUGUGGCACUGCCGCCUUGGUCACAUUGGUGUCAAGCGCAUGAAGAAGCGCCAUGCCGAUGGACUUUUAGAGUCUCUUGAUUAUGAAUCGUUUGACACGUGCGAACCAUGCCUCUUGGGCAAAAUGACCAAGACUCCGUUCUCCGGAACAAUGGAGCGAGCAACCAACUUGUUGGAAAUCAUACAUACCGAUGUGUGCGGUCCAAUGAGCGUUGAGGCUCGCGGAGGAUAUCGUUAUGUUCUCACUCUCACAGAUGACUUGAGUAGAUAUGGGUAUGUCUACUUAAUGAAACACAAGUCUGAGACCUUUGAAAAGUUCAAGGAAUUUCAGAAUGAGGUGGAGAAUCAACGUGACCGAAAGAUAAAAUUCUUACGAUCAGAUCGUGGAGGAGAAUACUUAAGUCACGAAUUUGGUACACACUUAAAGAAAUGUGGAAUCGUUUCACAGCUCACGCCGCCUGGAACACCUCAGCGAAACGGUGUGUCCGAACGUCGUAAUCGCACUCUAUUGGAUAUGGUGCGGUCUAUGAUGUCUCUUACCGAUUUACCGCUAUCAUUUUGGGGAUACACUCUAGAGACAGCUACAUUCACUUUAAAUAGGGCACCGUCUAAAUCCGUUGAGACGACACCGUAUGAAUUAUGGUUUGGAAAGAAACCUAAGCUGUCGUUUCUAAAAGUUUGGGGAUGCGAAGCUUAUGUCAAGAAACUUCAACCUGAAAAGCUCGAACCCAAGUCGGAAAAAUGCGUAUUCAUAGGAUACCCUAAGGAAACUAUAGGGUAUACCUUCUACUUAAGAUCCGAAGGCAAGAUCUAUGUUGCCAAGAACGGAUGCUUUCUGGAAAAAGAGUUUCUCUCGAAAGAAGUAAGUGGGAGGAAAGUAGAACUCGAUGAAGUACUACCUCUUGAGCGGGAUAGUGACGCAGCACAGGAAACCGUUCCUGUGAUGCCCACACCAACUGAAGAGGAAAACCAUGAUAAUGAUCAAGGUACUUCGGAUCAAGUUACUGCUGAACUUCGUAGGUCCACAAGGACACGUUCCGCACCAGAGUGGUACGGCAACCCUGUCCUGGAAAUCAUGUUGUUAGACAACAAUGAACCUUCGAACUAUGAAGAAGCAAUGGCGGGCCCGGAUUCCAACAAAUGGCUUGAAGCCAUGAAAUCCGAGAUAGAAUCCAUGUAUGAAAACAAAGUAUGGACUUUGACAGACUUGCCCGAUGAUCGGCGAGCGAUAGAAAACAAAUGGAUCUUUAAGAAGAAGACGGACGCGGAUGGUAAUGUUACCAUCUAUAAAGCUCGACUUGUCGCUAAGGGUUAUCGACAGGUUGAAGGGAUUGACUACGACGAGACAUUCUCUCCCGUAGCGAAGCUAAAGUCCGUCCGAAUCAUGUUAGCAAUUGCCGCAUACUAUGAUUAUGAGAUAUGGCAGAUGGACGUCAAAACAGCAUUCCUUAACGGGCAUCUUAAGGAAGAACUGUAUAUGAUGCAGCCGGAAGGUUUUGUCGAUCCUCGGAACGCUAACAAAGUAUGCAAGCUCCAGCGAUCCAUUUAUGGACUGGUGCAAGCAUCUCGGAGUUGGAACAUUCGCCUUGAUGAGAUGAUCAAAGCGUUUGGGUUUAUGCAGACUUAUGGAGAAGCCUGCGUUUACAAGAAAGUGAGUGGGAGCUCUGUAGCAUUUCUCAUAUUAUAUGUAGAUGACAUACUCCUGAUGGGAAAUAAUAUAGAAUUUCUGGACAGCAUUAAGGCCUACUUGAAUAAGUGUUUUUCAAUGAAGGACCUUGGAGAAGCUGCUUAUAUAUUAGGCAUCAAGAUCUAUAGAGAUAGAUCGAGACGCCUCAUAGGUCUUUCACAAAGCACAUACCUUGAUAAGAUUUUGAAGAGAUUCAGAAUGGAUCAGUCCAAGAAGGGGUUCUUGCCUAUGUUACAAGGUAUGAGACUGAGCUCAGCUCAGUCACCGACCACGGCAAAAGAUAAAGAAGAGAUGAGUGUCAUCCCCUAUGCUUCAGCCAUAGGAUCUAUUAUGUAUGCCAUGUUGUGUACCAGACCCGAUGUAAACCUUGCCGUAAGUUUGGUAGCAAGAUACCAAAGUAAUCCCGGCAAGGAACACUGGACAGCGGUCAAGAAUAUCCUGAAGUACCUGAAAAGGACGAAGGACAUGUUUCUCGUUUAUGGAGGAGACGAAGAGCUCGUCGUAAAGGGUUACGUCGAUGCUAGCUUCGACUCAGAUCUGGAUGACUCUAAGUCACAAACCGGAUACGUGUAUAUGUUGAAUGGUGGAGCAGUAAGCUGGUGCAGCUGCAAGCAGAGCGUCGUGGCGGGAUCUACAUGUGAAGCGGAGUACAUGGCAGCCUCGGAGGCAGCGCAUGAAGCGAUUUGGGUGAAGGAGUUCAUCACCGACCUAGGAGUCAUACCCAAUGCGUCGGGGCCGAUCAAACUCUUCUGUGACAACACUGGAGCUAUUGCCCUCGCAAAGGAGCCCAGGUUUCACAAGAAGACCAGGCACAUCAAGCGUCGUUUCAACUCCAUCCGUGAAAAUGUUCAAGAUGGAGACAUAGAAAUUUGCAAAGUGCACACGGAUCUGAAUGUCGCAGAUCCGCUGACUAAACCUCUCUCGCGUGCAAAACAUGAUCAACACCAGAACUCUAUGGGUGUUCGAUUCAUCACAAUGUAACUAGAUUAGUGACUCUAGUGCAAGUGGGAGACUGUUGGAAAUAUGCCCUAGAGGCAAUAAUAAAAGUAUUAUUAUAUUGUUCAUGAUAAUUGUCUUGUAUUCAUGCUAUAACUGUGUUAUCCGGAAAUCGUAAUACACGUGUGAAUACUUAGACCACACUAUGUCCCUGGUAAGCCUCUAGUUGACCAGCUCGUUGUGAUCAACAGAUAGUCAUGGUUUCCUGACUAUGGACAUUGGAUGUCGUUGAUAACGGGAUCACAUCAUUAGGAGAAUGAUGUGAUGGACAAGACCCAAUCCUAAGCAUAGCAUAAAAGAUCGUGUAGUUCGUUUUGCUAGAGCUUUGCAAGUGUCAAGUAUCUCUUCCUUCAACCAUGAGAUCGUGUAACUCCCGGAUACCGUAAGAGUGCCUUGGGUGUAUCAAAUGUCACAACGUAACUGGGUGACUAUAAAGGUGCAUUACAGGUAUCUCCGAAAGUAGCUGUUGGGUUGACACGGAUCGAGACUGGGUUUUGUCACUCCGUAUGACGGAGAGGUAUCUCUGGGCCCACUCGGUAAUGCAUCAUCAUAUUGAGCUCAAUGUGACCAAGGUGUUGGACACGGGAUCAUGCAUUACGGUACGAGUAAAGUGACUUGCCGGAAACGAGACUGAACAAGGUAUUGGGAUACCGACGAUCGAGUCUCGGGCAAGUAACGUACCGAUUGACAAAGGGAAUUGCAUACAGGGUUUGAUCGAAUCCUCGACAUAGUGGUUCAUCCGAUGACAACAUCGAGGAGCAUGUGGGAGCCAUCAUGGGUAUCCAGAUCCCGCUGAUGGUUAUUGACUGAGAGAGUCUCGGUCAUGUCUGCAUGUCUCCCGAACCCGUAGGGUCUACACACUUAAGGUUCAGUUGCGCUAGGGUUAUAGGGAUAUGUAUAUGCAGUAACCCGAAUGUUGUUCGGAGUCCCGGAUGAGAUCCCGGACGUCACGAGGAGUUCCGGAAUGGUCCGGAGGUAAAGAUUUAUAUAUGGGAAGUCCUGUUUCGGGCAUCGGGACAAGUUUCGGGGUUAUCGGUAUUGUACCGGGACCACCGGAAGGGUCCCGGGGGUCCACCGGGUGGGUCCACCUGUCCCGGGGGGCCACAUGGGCUGUAAGGGGGUGCGCCUUGGCCUAAUGGGCCAAGGGCACCAGCCCCACAUAGGCCCAUGCGCCUAGGGUUUAAGGGGGCAAGAGUCCUAGGAGGGUAAGGCACCUCCUAGGUGCCUUGGGGGGAGGGAAAACCCCCCUUGGCCGCCGCACCCCAUAGGAGAUUGGAUCUCCUAGGGCCGGCCACCCCCCCUUGGCACCCCUAUAUAUAGUGGGGGAGAGGAGGGACUUCAUACCUGAACGCCCUGGCCUUUGGUUGCCUCCUUCUCCCUCCCCAACACCUCCUCCACCUCCAUAGUGCUUAGCGAAGCUCUACCGGAGUACUGCAGCUCCAUCAACACCACGCCGUCGUGCUGCUGCUGGUGCCAUCUCCCUCAACCUCUCCUCCCUUCCUUGCUGGAUCAAGAAGGAGGAGACGUGGCUGUUCCGUACGUGUGUUGAACGCGGAGGUGCCGUCCGUUCGGCGCUGGUCAUCGGUGAUUUGGAUCACGUCGAGUACGACUACAUCAUCACCUUGCAAGCUUCCGCACGCGAUCUACAAGUGGUAUGUAGAUGCGAACUCUCUCCCUAGACUCGUUGCUUAGAUGAACUCAUAGAUGGAUCUUGGUGAAACCGUAGGAAAAAUUUUAAUUUUCUGCAACGUUCCCCAACAGGUUUCCCCCUAGGAGGAGUCCUAGUGGUGGAAGGCACCCCUAGGUACCUUGGGGGGGAGGGAAACCUCCCCUAGGCCGCCGCCCCCCCUAGUAGAUCUCAUCUACUAGGGCCGGCGCCCCCCCUUGGCACCCCUAUAUAUAGUGGGGGAGAGGAGGGACUUCAUACACCAGCCCCUGGCGCCUCCACCUCCCCCCGUUACGUCUCUCCCUCGUAGUCUCGGCGAAGCCCUGCUGCUGUGACGCCCUGCAUCCACCACCACGCCGUCGUGCUGCUGGAUCUUCAUCAACCUCUCCUUCCCCCUUGCUGGAUCAAGAAGGAGGAGACGUCUCCCGUCCCGUACGUGUGUUGAACGCGGAGGUGCCGUCCGUUCGGCGCUGGUCAUCGGUGAUUUGGAUCACGUCGAGUACGACUACAUCAUCACCUUGCAAGCUUCCGCACGCGAUCUACAAGUGGUAUCUAGAUGCAAACUCUCUCCCUAGACUCGUUGCUUAGAUGAACUCAUAGAUGGAUCUUGGUGAAACCGUAGGAAAAAUUUUAAUUUUCUGCAACGUUCCCCAACAAUUCUAUCCUUUCAGGAGGAUACGGGGAACAGUCAAGCAGUUGAAGAAGAGGUAACUAUAAUCUCUUCCGACUCAGAGCCUUUGCCAACACAAAAACUCCGAAGGGUGACCCGGAAAGUAAGUUUUUCACAUCCUCUAGCUUACCAAGAUCCUCAAUUUCUUUUGAAGCAACAACAACUUGAGAACCGGAGGCAAACUCGGGCCACUCAAGACGCCGAACUCUCCUCCGGCUUACCUGAUGUAACCAGGAAGCGUCGAUCCGAGGUUACCUCCGAUUUACAUUCUGCUUUUCCUUUGGCGGGUCUAAUUCGCCAACCUCUCAAUUCAUCUGACUCCAAUUAUCAGGGUGCUUCUCCGUCUUCCGACGAGUCGAUGCAAUCAAACAUGCCGGUUUUUAAGAUAGCUCCAGGGUAAUGCAACCUUUCUUAUUGUAAGUCUUUCCAUACUUAUGCGUUGAUACUCAUCCUUCCACUUUGAUUGACAGCCUGCAAGUGAAGCCUAGCAAGAGGGCAAAUAAGAAUAAGCCGUCCCAAGACCCGGUGGUUCCUGAACCGGCAAUUGACUCAUCCGUUCCCGACGGCUCCACUCACCAGCCACCGCCUGAGCCGGCUCUUGAUAUUCCGGUGUCAACCUCUGACCCGCUUGUAGAAGAUGGUGUCCACAAUUCUAAUAACCCAGAAAUUCCUAGCCCGGUCAAGAGGACUGAUCCGGAAGUUGAGUUCCUGAAGAGCCAAUAUGUUGCGCCGGACCAGCCUACUGUUCUUGCUCAAUGCACUGCCAAGGAGGAGUUUGCUCAACAUCGGAAAGCCAAACAGGCCAUCACUGAUUAUACUCACCUAAGCAUUGGUGAUAUAGUCUCGGGCUAUCUGAACCAAGUGCACAAUAGCCGUGACCUGGAAAUUGACAUGGGGAAGCAAAUACAGCAUAAAUUUGAGGUAUAACUUUAGCUUUUCCUGAACCUUACUUACUGUACCAGCCCCCAAGUCUAUUGCUUAUGAAUGAAUAUGCUAUAGACUUAGAAAUCUAUUUACUGUUAGUAUGCCCAGUUUAAAGUAAAUACAUUUAACCCGGUGAUAGCGUGAAACUUUGAAUUGACACUUUAGUCCCCAAGUGUCAAGUAUCUUUACUUGUAAAAUGCUUGAGACUUUAGUAUGUAUGGCUUGGCAAAUAAGUUAAAAAUUUCUUUGAGCAUACAUUAGCCCCCAAGUGCCAAAUAUCUUAACUUGUAAAGUGUUUGGGACUUGACUGUUACCUUAUCAUGAUCCUUACCAUAAUUUCGUGCCAAUAUAGGCUACCAUAAGUCAAUUUGAAUCGGAGAUUGCUGACCUGAAGAGCCAGCUGAAGUUGCAAGUGCUUGAAACUCAAAAAGCAAACUCCAAGUUUGAAUUCAGCAUCUCUGAACAAGAAAAACUGAAGAAAAAUUUUGAGUCGGAGAAACAAGCUUGGGUUGAAGAGAGGGCUGCAUUAGUGACUCGGGCCGAAACGGCAGAAGCAUCUCUUGCAGAGGCAACACCCGAACUGUCCGACUUAAAGCGGCAGAUAUCCCAAAUGGUCUCAGCCAUCUUCGGUAAGUCUCUCCAAAAAACCUUAAACAUUGUAAUCUUUCAAGGAUUUAUUGUGAUGAUUAUCUCCGGCUUAUUGUUAUGCUUGUUACCAUACAGGCCCCAGGAGUACCAACCUCAAGCAAAACAUGCUGAUCAAACUCAAGGCAGUUUACACCCUUGUGGAGCAGCUGUACACCGGGUCACAACGUGCCUUGGCCGUUGUAGCUUUAUCAACUCCACAUCCCUGCCUUCUGCAAGACGUAUUGAAGAGCCUCACUUUUCUUCCUCAGCGGAUCCAAGAUCUAAGGCGGGCGUCCUCAAGAGCCGAAGCUGUAGCCGCAUUGAGUCGGGCUAAAGCAUGGCUCCCGGAACUAGACCCGGCCAACCUUGCCCUUGGAUACCCAAGUCUGAAGGAGGACGGUAUUGCCUUUGACGACCAUGACUUCAACGCCUGUGUCAAAGCCAUACAUCUCGUGGCGACCCUUAUUGGAAAUGACACAGACCUUAGCAAGUAUGCACCGGCUUAUGACAGUGAAAACCGGAGAAUCCCAAACGCUCCAUAUUAUCAAGUCAGCCUGAUCCCUCCAACGCGUAAGCAUACCUUUGCCCCUGAAGUGGACCCGUCCGGUUUAAUAGAUGAUGAGGCUGAAUUUGAAGCCUUAAGCGGCAUUGACUGGGCCUCAUCCACCUUCCAGGACAAAGCAACCGACGGAGAGGCGGAGAAGGAUAACCCGGAGCCAUCAAGCCCGCCAAAGGAGUGAGCUGCCAGGCGUCUUACCUUUUGCCCAAACGAUGCUUCACUUAUUCAGACUCGGGGAGUCUUGUAAAAACUUCUCAAUGUUUGCCAUGCCUUCGUGCAUGUUUAUGGCGCUUAACGAUUUCGUACACCGUCAUUAGCCUAUAUUUCCCAGCUUAUGUUGAUUGUUUGCCCCCUUGAAGUUAAAUUUUCCUGCCUUACUCUGCACAUAAAGCAAACAAAUUUUUCUUGGGCGGUUUACUGCUCCAGGGGUUUAUAAAGUAUUGAUAACCCGGGACAUAGUACAAAGAACAUCAUGUACAGACCGAUUUAUGAGUACUUAUACUCACAAUAGCAUACCUGCGAACCCCUUGGUAACCUUCCCGAUUCAUAUGUACCUGACACUUGGAGGACAUGGGGUAGUCAAUAGUGAACCGGAAGGACCAAGUCUCAUCUCCUCAAGAAGGUUCAAAUAUAGUUAAAGCAAUGUUCACAGGCUCCUGAUUCGAAUACGAUUAGAGAAUCGUUCCAAAGGGGUUAAGCUAAGAUUCGAAUACAAUCAUAUAGCCCCCAGUGGCUUUGGCGAUGCCGAUCAAAUGGGUAUCGACAUCUAUGUUCUCUUUGGUUCGAAUAUGACCUAUUUUUGAACAGGAAGCCCCCAAGUGACCAUAAAAUUUGUUUAAUGACGCUGAUUCGAAUACGGUCCACGUCAGACCCAAAGGGGGUUAAGCUGUGAUUCAAAUAUGAUCAAGAAGCCCAAAGUGGGUUUGGCAGUAUGCCGAUCAAGUGCGUAUCGACAGCUAUGUUCUCUUUGGUUCGAAUACGACCUAUGUUUGAACAGGAAGCCCCCAAGUGACCACGGCUAGAUUCAGAUAUGAUCAUAAGCCGGACCAAAGGGAGAUCCGGAUUCAGAUAUGAUCCGGUCCCUAUUGGUUGUUUCCACCACCUGUCAAAAAGACAUAUAUACUUGUUUUGAGGGUGAAAAAAGGACAGAAGUCCUGCUUUAUUACUUUAUAUAAUAUAUACAUUGUCAAAAACAUAUAUAUCUCAAGAGCCGAUGGCUUAAAUAUAACAAGGCUGAAUAUGAGUUAUAUCCCACGGCCGGCCAGGCGAAUCACGCUGGAUAUUACUUAGCAAAGCUGCCUCCACCCCAGAAGCUAUGGAGAAAGGUGUAUAACCCGCCGGAUCAAGGCCACUUACCCUGAUGUCUCUGAUUGUUACCCUGUGUUUUUACAUUGGCCACAAGUUCUGAGUUGUCGUCCACCUUACGCUUAUUGCCACCUUGGUUCACCGGGUUGUGCUGUUGGCCCUUUCUACUGCUGUUCUGUUUUCCCUUCCCUGCCUUUUCAUCGUCAGACCCGGGAUCCUUGGUACUAUCAGAAUCAGCGUACUUGACCAGAGCUGCCAUUAGUGUACCCAUAUCCUUGCAGCCACGUUUAAGGCGCCCUAACUUCUGCCUCAGCGGCUUGAAGCUGCAAUUCUUUUCCAAUAUAAGAACUGCAGAACCGGCGUCCAUCUUAUCAGAUGAAUGGAUUAUCUCCUUGACCCGGCGUACCCAAUGGGUGGUAGACUCACCUUCCUCUUGCUUGCAAUCCGUCAGGUCUACAAUUGACAUAGAUUGCUUACAGGUGUCUUUGAAGUUCUGGAUGAACCGGGCCUUUAACUCACCCCAUGAACCAAUGGAAUUGGGUGGCAGACCCUUUAACAAAGACCGAGCCGUUCCAUCUAGCAUCAUGGUGAAAUACUUAGCCAUCGCCGCGUCACUAACUUCCAACAGCUCCAUGGCCAUCUCAUAACUCUCAAUCCAUGCUUCGGGCUGCAGGUCGGCCGUGUAAUUCGGCACCUUUCGAGGUCCCUUGAAGUCUUUGGGCAACCGCACAUUACGUAAAGUCGGAACCAGACAAGGAACACCACCGGUUCUAGUGGCGACACCCGCCUCAACAAAAGUUGUGGGAUACUCCGGAAAAUCUUGGUGUACCAUCUGUUGAGCCGCUGCCUGAGCCGCCCGCUCGUCCUCCUGGCGUAUUCGAUCUUGCACCGGGUUAUAGCCACUGGGCUGGUUACGGCGUUGGGUGUUGCUUGACAAAGCUUCUGACUCCAUGUGCCUGCUGUAACUCAGGCUCUGGUUCUGGCGAGGUGGUGCUAACCAGGGCGGGGGAGUUGAAUGAAUCAUGUCCCGGCUAUAAGAAUAGGUCUCCUGCCGAGCUAAAGCCGUCUGGAGGAGCUCUCUGACUCUUCGGGUCUCUACUGCCGCCGGGUCAUCACCCUCCAUAGGAAGAGCCGCCAAACAUGCUGAAGCUGCAAUUAAGUUCUCCAUGGGGUUGGAAAAGUGACCCGGUGGAACCGACACAUAACGCGGCGGUGGCAUGCUCACAUGAGGUGGUGCCAUCUCCCGAGGCUGAGUCGGCCCUCCUGUUCCGGCGGUCAUAAACUGAUUGGCCUCCGGGUUACUUGGGCCGGCUCCGGGUGUAGCAAAAAGAACCCGAGGAUUGUAAUUCGGAGGUAACCGAGACUGAGUCUUCUGAUGUCUCCUCCUCAUUACCUCAUUGGAUGCGUUUAAACUCAUUGUGAGCUGGUAAGCUUCUGACUGCAAGCGCUGUGCCCGGGCAUCGAGAGCCGCUCGCUCUGUAGCUAGUCUAGUGUCCUCAGCUGCCAAGGCCUCCUUGGCCUGAGCUAUCUCUUCACGCACCUGUGCUACCGCUGCAUCAUGCUCGUCUUUGUCUGCAGGAAUAACCGUAGCAGUUAACAGGACCGUAAACUUGUCCAUGAGGUCCAUCAGCACCUGAGCUGGUAGGCGCACGGGGCCGCUUGCCCUGGCUACUCCUGACCCGGAUGUGAUCGCUGCCGUAGCUGUAGAGUUUGCACCGGGCUAAGUUCCAGCCAUAAAGAUCCCUGCCCAUCUUGGCGGCUCACAGGGGUCCAGAAUACUGCUGCCAUCGGAACAGCCCUCGAGCGCGUCGUCUUGUACCUGAUACAAUGAAUCUAUUGAGCCGGUGGACGAGUCACCGUCUGAGAGGACAGCCGUCUCACCCCCAUCUUCAGAUCCUUUAGGAAAUUCCUCUCCGUGGAUGCAGCCCACGAAGGCACGCCUUAAGACAGGUUGAGUCCGGGUCUUCCUUGCAUGCUGAGCCGUCUCGAUGAGGUCGGUGCAGUUGUCCGGCUCAGGGCCCGGCUCACCGAUCCGGCCGAUGAAGACAUGGAUUCCGCUGAAGGGGACCCGGUAUCCGUACUCAAUUGAGCCGGCGUUAGGACCCCAGCCUUCAUCGUCGAUGUAGAUCUUGCCGCGACGACUCUUGGUCAUCCGGCCCACCACGUAUCCCUUGAGCCCUUCGAAAUUGCCCUUCAAGAACUCAAAUCCACCGUGCGCUGGCCCCAUGGUGGGCGCCAACUCUCGUAGAAUUGUCACGUCAGAUGUCCUCAUGAAAGGACUUAGUUGUGGAGCCAUCGCAACUAGGAAUCUUGAAGGGGUUAAAUCGGGACAAAGGACACGAGAGGGUUUAUACUAGUUCGGCCCCUUAUGGUGAAGGUAAGGCCUACGUCUAGUUGGGUUGGUAUUGAUGUUUCGAUGACCAGGGAGCAAGACACGCUAUGCCUGGUUCUCGAUGAGUUGUUUUCUUCUCCUAAGCAGCCAGCGGGUCGUCCCCUUAUAUACACGGGUGGACGCCCUGCGGCUUACAGAGUCCCGGCCGGCUCAUAAACAAUGUCCGGCUCGAUGACUAGUUAAGUCUACCUCAUGAUACAAGUAAUAUCCUUACAACGGUUUACUACAACGGGCCUUAAGUCGCCAGCGGGCCUUAAGCCCAUCUUGAACCGCUAUCUUCAUGCUUGGCCUUGGGCUUCUCUCUGAUGAGGCUCUUUGCGUAACCCGGCCCCUCCUGGGCGGUUUACACAAAUAGCUAUAUUCCCAACAGAACCUGACUUCGAUCUCGUCAAAAUUCUGGUGGGGUGCAAUGAAUGGUGAUAAAAAGGUGCAGUGGAAAUCAUGGGAGAAGAUGUGUGCAGCAAAACGAGAUGGUGGUCUCGGCUUUCAAGACCCGGAAGCUUUCAACCAAGCUCUCCUAGAAAAGCAGGCAUGGAGGAUCUUGCAAUAUCCGCUCUCAGUAUGUGCACGGGUUCUCAAGGUGAGAUACUUCCCGAAUAACUCCAUCAUGUCGGCCACGUGCCCCUCGGGGGGCUCGUUCACUUUCAGGAGUAUAUUCCAUGGGCAUGACCUGCUGUGGGAGGGGUUGAUUUGGAGAGUCGGAGAUGGGUCCAAGAUUAAUGUUCAUCAUGACAAUUGGAUCUCAAGGAGUGGGAGUAUGCAACCGCCGGGAGCCGUAUAUGUACUGGGAGUGACAAGGGUGGCUGAUUUGCUGUCACCUAAUGGCGCCUCGUGGAGUUUUGAUCGUGUGGAUGAGAUGUUCUCUCUAGAUGAUGUGGCGGACAUAAAACAGAUAGCGGUUGGGGGACUGGGGGACAAAGGAUACCUUAGCAUGGAACUAUACUAAAAAUGGAGUGUUCACGGUGCGCUCGGCCUACCACCUAAGAAUGACCAUGAACAGGGUGAGAUUUGGGCAGCCGGAAUCUUUGAGUUCUGUAAGCAAACACAAAGGUUACCUGGGGUUGUGGGAUACUAGUGCGCCGAACAAAGCAAAAAUUCAUAUGUGGAGGGUCAUCAGGAAUGGCCUAGCAGUUGGGUCCGAGCUCCAUCGUAGGCGCAUCAAACCAGGGGUGUUCUACAUGGUAUGUGGGUGGGAGGAGAGGAUCAUGCAUCUCUUUUGGACUUGCCAGCACUCGAUCCAGUUCUGGAACCAGCUUCACUCAGAAAAGGGAGUCACGGUGGCAGCCCCACCGAUCUUCACAGCCUCCCAGAGUGAGUUGGCCAACUGGCUGCUCGGAUGGUUCGCCAAGGCCCAUGAGGAUGAGCGGGAGAUGAUGAUACAUGCAGUAUAUGCACUUUGGCUGGCACGUAAUGAGACAAGAAAUGGCAAGAGAAUUGAGGCCCCACAUGAAAUCAUAGAGCGAGUUUGCUUUCACGUGAAGGAAUGGAGAGAGGUACAUGCAAAACCUCCUCGGAUCACAAAACCAGCGAUUAUUCAGAGGUGGAGUGCUCCAGACGAGGGGUGGGUCAAAGCAAAUUCAGAUGGGGCGAUCUCAAGGUAUGGUGGAAAAGCUGGAGGAGGAGUAGUGCUGCGAGAUGAGAAUGGAGGCUUCCUAGCGAGUGCGUGCUACUUGUUCCCGCAGCUGGUCGAUCCUGAAGCAGCCGAGAUCAUGGCAUGCAAACAAGCUCUUCUGGUAGUAGCGGACAUCAACGUGCGAAAGGUACAUGUUGAACUGGACAACCAGUCUCUUUUUUUAGAAAUGGAGGAAGACCCCCAGCCUUUGCAUCUGGACGAUGCAUGCAGCCAUUUUAUUAAUUGUUCAAACAAGACCUUACAAAGUAAUACAACAGUAAGACUAAAGCCACCGUCUAGGCAACAUCUGUCGCUACUCCUAUCCAUUUGAUGAAGGGAUGCUGAUAGUCUGGGCCUAAUACCAACAGACCUCGCAGCCAAACCUACCAUCUAAGACCCGAGGUCCCAUCCAGGACGCCUGCCGGGUAUGGGGCACCCACUGGUCUGACGCACUGCUCAACCCGGACACCUGCCUGGUAUGAGGCCGCCGCAGCCACCUACCACCAAUCCAUCUUCAGAACUGUACUACUGCAUCUACCUUGUCCGGUCUAGCUGCCGUCGACGCCACCACGACGCCAGACCGUGUCAUCCUCCUGCGCGAGUCCAUCUCCGUGCAUCGGAUGCCGAGUCACCCCAACGCCAUGCCGUCGAGAUCCGCCGCCAUCAAUGAGUGAGAUGAAGCACCGCUCCACCAAAGAAUCUGUCCUCUGGUCCCUCGAUCACAUGUGCACCUCCAAAAAUGAUGCCUCAAAGGGGGGAACGACACUAGAGCGCCGCCGUCAUCCGAACAUCCGAUCUAGGAUUUCCCCUAGAGGUAGCAGAGAGUGGCCUUGAACUUCCCCACGGUGAUGCCUUCAAGAAGGGAACGAUGCAGAUAGCGUAGCCACCGCCGGCCUUGGCAAUAGCCAAAAGCAAGUUUUCACCCAGAUCUGUUCAAAGGAAUCCAACUCCCGUGCACGGCCGCCGCCACCACCAGGCUAAGCACUCACCGCCGCCGGCACCUCCAUGAUGCCCAGAGGCCGCGAGACUCGCCGCCACCAUGCCUCAGCCAGUCUCUUGUACAUAUGAUCAAACAACCAGAGAAGAACUUGUCAGCAAUGUGACCAUGGCUAGAGGAAAUCAAGACGAUGCUCCGUUCUUUUGAUGAUUUUAGAGUUUCCUGGGUUAGGCGUUCAGCAAAUGUUGCCGCGCAUAAAUUAGCAAAGGUAGGUGUAGGUGAAAAACUUUGUAAGGUCUGGUUAGGUGUACCUCCAGAAUGCAUUCUGGAUGUGAUUGCGGACGAGAUUCCAAACUUCGUUUGAGGUAAUAAAGCGGCGACAUUUAACUUAAAAAAAGAAGACAUAUAAAAAUUGGUAGGACCAUUGAAGUCAUUUUACAAUGAUUUUUUGUCAACCUUUUGUUCUUUAUAAGGCACAUAUCCUUCCUAGAGUGAAACAUAUAUGGCAUCCAUUGGCAGGACAGGAUCUUAGGGGGUGAGAAACACAAAAUAUUUAUGCUUUUUUUGUUGUGUAUUUAUUUAUUUUUCAAUCUAUCUAAGCGCCCCUAAGAAAAUUUCUUUUACCAAGGCUUGGGGGUCAUGACCCGUGCAGUUUUUUUUAACAUGGUACAAUCGAAGUUGCUCACAUGCACGGGCAUACACUCAUCCUAUGAACGUGCGCACGCAUACCCUAUCCCUAUGAGCACCUUUGAGAGGCUGAGCCAACAUAGCACUCUUGAUAUUUUACGAACUCACUGCGGGCACCUCAUAGUUGAUUGGAAGGUCUCCUCUAUUAAACGGAUAAAUUCAGGAAAAUACAAGCACCAAUGUCAGGUUUAGGACUUGAACUCUAGUGGACUGAGUAUCGCAUCAUUCUUCUAACCAUCCAACCACAUAUUGAUUCGUGGCCCGUGCGGGGUUGAGUGGUUGACCAUAGCUCCGCCCUUAAUUGGCAGGAAGCUGCAACACCCUCCAAAUAAUAUUUUGGACUUUAGACCAACCUGUAGAAUAUGUGAAUUGCACGAUGUAUUGCUCUUCAUGCAUAGGCACGUAUAUAUGAUGUACAAAGGUGGGCCACUGACCUCGACUAUACAAGGAACUAGGAGGCGGGCCCAAUACACAAUAUGCAUAUAACACAUAUACUCAACAAACCCCCGCAGUCGAAGCGGUACCUCGGCUGACGCAAAGACUGGACUGGAACUCCUCAAAUGACGCCGUAGGCAAGCCCUUGGUCAUGAUAUCUGCAAAUUGUUGGGAAGUAGGGACGUGCAAAACACGAAUAUGACCAAGAGCCACUUGUUCCCGAACAAAAUGGAUAUCCAACUCAAUAUGCUUGGUCCGGCGAUUAUGCACCGGGUUAGCGGAAAGGUAGACCGCCGAGACGUUGUCGCAGUAGACCACCGUGGCACGGUCAAUAGGGCAAGAAAGCUCCUGAAGCAGCUGGCGAAGCCACGAACACUCGGCGACGGCGUUGGCCACCGCGUGAUACUCAGCCUCAGCACUGGAACGAGAGACCGUAGGCUGCCGCUUGGACGACCACGAGAUAAGUGAGGGUCCAAGGUAGACACAAUAGCCCGAGGUGGAGCGACGAGUAUCAGGGCAGCCCGCCCAGUCUGCAUCGGAGUAGGCGGUGAGGGCGGUGUCGACGGAGGCAUGAAACAUGAUGCCAAGAUCCAUAGUGCCACAGACAUAGCGGAGAAUCCGCUUGACCGCAGCCCAGUGAACAUCUCGAGGAGCAUGCAUAUGAAGACACACUUGCUGCACGGCAUACUGGAUCUCUGGUCAAGUCAGAGUGAGGUACUAAAGAGCACCAACGAUAGACCGAUAGAAAGCAGCAUCUGAAGCAGGGGAACCAUCCGUGGCAGAAAGCUUGGCCUUCGUAUCAACAGGUGUAGCGGCGGGCUUGCAGUUAAGUAUGCCGGCGCGCUCCAGGAGCUCAUGAGCGUACUUUCGCUGAUGAAGGAAGAAGCCAUCAGGACGGCGCACCACCUCGACACCGAGGAAGUAGUGCAAAGGACCCAAGUCCUUGAUGGCGAACUCAGCGUGAAGAUGAGCCGUGAGCUGACUGAGGAGACCAGCUGUACAUGCCGUCAGGAUGAUGUCGUCGACAUAGAGCAGCAAGUAGGCCGUGUCGGAGCCCUGAUGAUAGACGAAGAGCGAGGCGUCCAAGCAGGUAGAGCGGAACCCAAGCUGGUGGAGAAACGCCGCGAUGUGCUGGUACCAAGCGCGCGGAGCCUGCUUGAGUCCGUACAAGGACCACGAAAGCAGGCACACGUGGUAGGGAAGCGUCGGGUCAACAAACCCGGUGGGCUGCUGGCAGAAGACCUGCUCCUCGAGAUGACCAUGGAGGAAGGCGUUAGAGACGUCCAUCUGGUGCACCGGCCAAGCACGGGAGACCGCAAGGUGGAGAACCAUGCGUAUCGUGCCAGGCUUGACGACCGGAGCGAAAGUGUCGGUGAAGUUGAUGCCAGCACGCUGUCGAAAGCCAUGAACGACCCAGCGCGCUUUGUAGCGAUCAAGGGUACCAUCAAGACGGAGCUUGUGUUUAAAGACCCACUUCCCGGUAAUCACGUUGGCGUGCCGGGGACGGGGAACAAGCUGCCACGUCCGGUUGCCCAACAGGGCGUCGAACUCCUCUUGCAUCGCAGCCAUCUAGACCGGGUCACGAAGAGCGGCUCGAACGGAGGACGGCAACGGCGACGGCUCAGAGGUGGACGCCGCAUGGACGUAGUCAUCCGAGGCAUAGCGCGAGCUCGGGCGAAAAAGCCCGUACGGGCGCGGGUGACCGGACCGGCCACAGGCGCAAUGGGGGCCGCGGGCACCGAGGGCGCCGGGGGCACCGGGGCGCCGAGGGGGCCGGGGGCACCAAGGGGGCCAUGGGCGCCGGGGGAGCCGCAGGGGCCGUGGGCGCCAACGUCGGGGGCGCCGGGGGCACCAACACCGCGGUUGUAGGAGGCGCCGCAUGCGGGGGGCGCGCCGCAAAGCCAGGGGCGGGCCAAGAGAGGCGCGCGAGCGCCCUGGGAGAGGCGUCGAGGAGCCUGCGUCACCGGUGGCGGGAGGAACAGCCGGGGAUACCUGGUGAAACGGAAACACAUGCUCAUUAAAGUAAACGCGCCAAGAGGUGAACACACGGUGGGAUACGGGAUCAUAGCACCGAUAUCCCUUGGAGUUAGAGGGGUAGCCGAUGAAGAUGCAAGCGACAGAUCGAGGUGCAAGCUUGUGAGAAGCAGUGUCGGCAAUGCUGGGAUAGCAAAGGCACCCAAAAAUACACAAGUCGUCAUAAGACGGUGGCGUACCAAAGAGAAGAUGGUGAGGUGCGUAGUUCCACUGUGGGCGGCAGGGUCUAAUGUUAAGAAGAAGUGAUGCAGUGGCGAGUGCGUCCGGCCAGAAACGAGGCGGCACGUUGGCAUGAAACAGGAGCGUGCGAACGCAGUCAUUCAGAGUGCAAAGGACGUGUUCAGCUCGACCAUUCUGCUGUGAAGUGUACGGGCAUGUGAGGCGGAAAACUGUACCGUGAUGUGACAAAAAGGUGCGGAAAGCGAGGUUGUCGAACUCUUUUCCAUUGUCCGUCUGAAGCGCAAGGAUGGGACGCCCAAACUGCGUGCGGACAUAGGAGUAAAAGGCCGUCAAGGUAGAGAGUGCAUCCGACUUUCUACGCAAAGGAAAAGUCCACACAUAAUGAGAAUAAUCAUCAAGAAUGAUCAGAUAAUAUAAAUAGCCCGAGUUACUGGGAACCGAAGAAGUCCACACAUCGCUAUGAAUCAACUGAAAAGAAAAAGAAGCAAUGGUGGUGGAAUUAUUAAACGGGAGACAGACAUGUUUGCCGACUCGACAGGCAUGACAAGUGUGAUCCUCGAUCUUAUUGCAACUGAAACUGAAACGCCGAAGAAUAUGACGAAGUGUGACAGGGUUGGGAUGACCCAAGCGAGCAUGCCAGAGAUCGACUCCAGCGGAGAGAGCAACCGGUGCUGUGGUGGUGGAUGAAGGCGAGUGCACCGGAUAGAGCUCGUCGGGGCUGUCACAUCGGUGAAGUACCAUCCUGGUUCGAGCGUCUUUGACACAAAAACCAAGCUCGUCAAAUUCAACGGUAAUAUGAUUUUCAUGAAUGAAACAACGAACAGAAAUUAGAUUCUUAAUAAGAUGAGGUGACACAAGUAUGUUAGACAAAGAUAAUGGAGUAGAACUAGAAGGAAAAGAAGUGUGCCCAAUGUGUGUGAUAGGAAGUGUGGAACCGUCGUCGACAAUGAUGCGGCGGUCGGUGGAGACAGGAGUGAAGGAGGCAAGGUUACCAGGAUGAGCAAACAUGUGAGCCGUAGCACCGGUGUCCAUGUACCAAUCACCACCUCCAGUGUAGUUAUUCGGCGUAGGAGCGGCAUGCAGUGUGGGGAGGAGCACCGGGUCCCAGGGCGCCGGCGGCAGGCCCGGCGAGGGGGACGGAGAUGCCAUGGGGAGGCCGUAGCCACCGCUCGGUUGCGGCGGUGGGUACUCUCCAUACGGAAUGGGUAGCAGCCCCGGCUGCGACUGCGGUACCGAGUAGGCCGGAUGGCCCGCCGGAAAACCCUGUUGGCCCGCUGAUGACCCCCACCAGUACCCGGGAAACCCGUACACGGACGGAGCCCCGUACGUGGGAACUGGCGCGUCGAAUGCCCCGCACAACAGCAAGGGGUCGAUGGGCAAAGGCGGCGCCGACGGCGGGGCGACAACGGACCGGCGGGAGAACGCUGGCGAUGACGGGGCCGCGUCGUAGGACACCGGCGGCGGAGCCGCGCCAGAGGGACCAUAGCAGAACUGGCCGGAGAACGCCGGCUGCGGCUGGGCCGCGCCGUAGGACGCCGGCGCCGGAGCCGCGCCAGGAGCCCGUAGCAGGACUGGCCGGAGAGCGCUGGCGGUGGCGGGGCCGUGCCGUAGUAUGCCGGCGGCAGAGCCGCGCCAGAGGGCACCGUCGGUGGGACGACAGAGGCAGCGGUGGAUGGGUCGAAGGCCACCGGGGCCUAAGGAGGCGGCCGCUCGUGUGGGAUCACGCACCCGUGCGGAGGAGUUUUCCGUGUGGUGCUGAUGUGGUUGAUUGGUGCAGCGCCGUCCAGGUCCUAGCUGCUCCGUUGCAUGUACCUAUUGGACGUGCUUGCAUGCAUGGACGUCCAGGUCAACGCACGAAGCAGCCACGAGGUGGACUUCCUGCACGCGCUAGACGGAGAUCCCGUACUGCAUGGAAUCGGGCACGGCUAGCGCGAUCGGAUUUGGCGAAGCGGGCAGACUUGACUACUGCUCCUUUCCCAUGCUCCUAUCCGUGUUUCUGCAUACGUGACUUAAUUUGAUUGAAAGAAAAUAAGGUCCGGCUUCACCUCCUGAAAAUCAAGGGAUGAUUAGAUUAGAAAAGAAAAAAAAGAAAAUAACAGCCGUAGGAUAAAAUAGGAGCAUGGAUGGGAGCAUGUGAAGGGAGCAGGCAAGCCGGGUUUGACGCGGCGUACGGGAGCUGGCGGGACCGGGAGAAGCAGGCGAAGCUGGCAGCUAGCGAUUGGGAGGGUUGGCGACUAGCGGCGCAAGCGACGAGCGAUCGGGAAGGUAGCGGGCGGAGUGAAGUUUGAAAUAAACGAGUUAAUUGCAGGGAACUACCAUAUUUCGGCACGUCAUAACGAAUCAGUACCAUUAAUUAUUUUUUUUGCCAUGCAGUGCCAACUCUAAGCCUAAGUGUUGCAAAACAGACUAAGUCACGUAUAAACACGUAUUGACGAUGUAUCUGACCAGCGGGGCCCGCAUGUCAACAGCCAACUUGGCAUAUUUUUUUGCAGAAAACCCCUUUAUUAUAAAUUUAAUCGCUCAAAGCCGCCACCUCACCGGAGCCUCGUCGCUGGCUCGCCGGAGCCCCGUCGCCUCGACCUCGCCGGCCUCCCCUCGACGGAGCCCCGUCGCUGGCUCGCCGGAGCUCCGGGCCCCUCUCCCUUCUCUUUCCUUUCCUCUCCUCUUCGCUGGCUGGCCGGGGCGGUGGUGGUCGGCGACGCUGGUGGGGCGCACGGGUGGGUGAUGUGGUGGCGGUGUGGGCGACGAGGGUUGAGGGCGUCGCGGCGGCGUGGUUGCCGGUGGCCGAAGGAACCGCCGCUGGAUUCAAGAUCCGCCGCCCCUGUGUGCCUCGCCCACGUAUCCUCUCGAUCUGCUCGACCCGAGUUACUCGCUCGAGACCUAGACGAGCCAGCAUCGCGUGGGCCGCUUGACAGCCCAACUGCGGCCCAAGGAAGCUAGCACAUUUUUUCUGAGGGAGUACUAAGCACCAGACUAGAACCAACGCACGGCAAGAUUUUAUGUGAGUUAGUAUUAUUUAGUGCCAUGAACUUUUUUUCUAAAAUUUAUGUGGAUUAAAGAAACAAAUGUAAGAUAAUUUUCUUUGUCUUAGCUCAGUUCCACACACAUGCACAAUUAUUACGGAUCCUCAUUGUAUUUUUCAAAUACACAAUUAAACAAAUUAUAUGCCCAACUUGGAGUUACUGCAUAUAUUUUUUGUAUUUUUAAUGCACAGUUACUCAAAAAAACGAUAACAAGUACUAAAAUUAUUGUGUAAUCGUAAUAAAUUUUAUAUUGCAUGACACACAUUUUAGAAAAUACAUUUACAAUUUUUAAAUACGUGUUCAACAUUUCCCAAAAAUGUUCUGAACAUUUUUUUCUUCAAAUGCACAAACACUUUUUUUUGAGGGAAAAGCCAUCAUGGCGGUUUAUAUUUCAUGUGAAAACAGCGAUACAUCGUUUGCCAAUACAUCUAGCAGAAAAUCCGGAGGCACUGAUUUCCACGAGCUUGAGCACAGGAGAGUAGCACAAGAUGGCAGCCGCCAGAUGACGACCAUAGACCCAGAGUCUGGCAGUCAAUACAUGGCGGCGUUCUUCUUGUUUGAGGCCAAGCUAGUGCAGGAGCUCCAGGCACGGUUGCAAAUGGAGGGCCUUCUGAUUAUUUUGCUCACUGUUGUGUUGUUGUGCAUUAGCACAGAGCACAACUAGGACGAGAGUGUCACCAUGUGUGAGUUUAGCUUGUAGCAUGUGCGUGUAGGAAGUUGUUCUUUGCCUCUUUCUAUGCGCGCCGCGGCGGCGAGAGCACAAAUAGUCAGUGGCGGCGCCAUGGUAGGGGCGGGUAUGGUCGGCCGCCCCGGGUAGAUGAAAAAACGUAUACGAAAAACUACGAUUCGUUAUACGUGGGCUAACGCAGAUAUCUCCGAAAUAGAGUUUCCUCCUGCUUUGUAUUCCAAUGCAAACAUCACCGAUACAAUCAGAUAGGUGCUGGGGCGGAAGCAGCACAGGCACGCCCAAAAGAAACGAAAGAGAAAAAGAAAAGAAACAAAUGCCGACACCGGCGGAUCAACAAAAACGAAGAAAGCUUCUCCAGAGCGCCAAUACCAAUCAACACCUCCAAGAAGGGACGCGGCGAUGACGACGCUGCUGCCAAGGGUUUCCCCCCGUACUCGACGAGGAGAGAGGAAGGGUACCUCCGAUGCCCUCCAGAAAGGUCCGGUGGCACCCUCAGGUACCACCGCGUCGGAGUCGGCUCAGCCGACAGGGAUUUCUCCCGAUCCCAAACCUUCACCUCGGGAGAUUCGGAGCACGCCACCAAACAAACCACCACUCUGCGCCAAAAUGGUCUUGAAGCUUCCGCGCCAUCUCACCACGGCACCGCGAAAGGGGCCUGCUCAACGAAGAAGAGGAGCCGGGACUCGGCACAGCAGCAUCGUCGGCACGCGGGAGGGCCCAACCUCCACCGUCGACGACGGUAACCGAUCGGACGUGACAGCAGGAGCAUACCGGUCCCGUGGGCCCACAGGUCUGGCCGGGUCUGCAUAUGCCCGUAAAGCUCCCCCCUUUACGCUACAGAAGGCAUGUUGUCGGCGCCACCACCGCGAGUCCGAGCCGCUCCUCCUCCGCGCCACGCAGAGGACGUCGAAGCCCCUCCAAUGGCCAACCCGCUAGGACCCAGAUGGGGUCGGGAGGGCCUAGAUCUGGGCCGGGGGCGCGCCGCCAGCCACCGCACGUCACCACGCCGCCCUGCUGCCAAGGGCAGCACCGCCUCCUCGCCCACCGCCGGCGACCGCCGCCUCGCCCACCGCCGGUGACCGCCGCCGGGUCGCCGGGCCGCCGCCCAGCCGAGCAGCACCACCGCCGUCACCUGCCCCAACCAAAAGAUGCAGCACCCUGCGUGGGAGGAAGCAGCAGCGACACCAGCACCGGCACGACAACGAGCUCGUGCAAAUGGCUGGCAGCUGCAAUUUGCAAAAUCAGCAAGCGCAGCCAGCAGGUACACACCAACAGAGAGUCAUAGACAGUCCAUUUUCUUCUGAAUAUGACCUUCAAUUCAGUACCAAUUAUUGAACUGAUGGUCAUAAAGGAAAAGCAUCAGUACGUAGUAUAUGCGUUUUAUAAGUGCUUAGUUUACAUCUUUUGAAGCCUGCUGAUAUGGCCAUAUAUGUUACAAUUGAUCAAGGCAAUUGCUGCUUAUAUUGCCAAUUCGCCGUAUAUUUAACAAUUAAUUUCUUCUGAUGUUGUAAUGUAGGGAGUCUUCAAAAGAAUGAAACCAAUUUUGCUGCAUAUUUUGGAACUCCCACACCAACUGUAUCAAGUGUCCCUUGAAGCCUCUGAUGCUAACAUUUUUCGAGUGCAUCUAGCUUCGUAUUUGAAUUUUUUGAGUAUUUGUUCAGCGUGGUUGCAUUUGUCCAUAAAAAAAAUUUAGACAUAAUGUUUCGCCCCGGCUAAGUUUAAUUUCUGGAUCCGCCACUGCAAAUAGUAGCAGUAUGCGGCGGCGAGCAGCAGCAGCAGUACAUGCUGCUGACAGCAUUACGCGGCGCCUGCGAGCGGCACCAAAAGUACGGGCGUUGAUGAGAUGGGCUCACUUCGUCGACCAGGGCACCAACCUCGCCACCUUCCGUCUCCUUCAAGCGGGCCAGACUCGUAGUGGACCUCACGAAGUUCAGGGAAGACCAAGCCGCCCAGGCCGCCGCCGGCGGUACCCCCGUCACCACCAUUGCCGACGCUGUCUGCGGGUUGGACGGCUGGACGAGGAGCUUGAGGGGCGCCUGGAGGGCGUCGCCAAGCAGCUGCUCCCGCUCGUGGAGGUUGCCGUAGCAGGGGUCUUCUGUCCAGGAGAGCAGGUCCGUGCCCGGGAGCAGAUCGAACACCUUGAACGCCAGCCACGCCUGGCCACACUUGGGACUGAGGAAGAUAUUGGGGAUAGCAUGUGACAGAUGGGCCCAUGUAGUAAGUGACAGUAGAAAUCAAUCCCGGGAUCAAGCCUUUCGUAUUACACCAAACAUGAUUUUACUCAUACAGGGUCUGAAUUGACCGGGAUCUAUAAAUACGGGAUACCAACUUCAGGGAUUUAGAGGUGAGGGUUUAUUCGCGCCAACCUCUACAAUCUCAGGGUUUAUUUUAGACUUCACUCGUAGCGGGCGCAACGAUGAGCGAUCGGGAGGGCUAGCAGGUUGGCGGCGUGGUGUCGGGCUAGCGAGCGGGUACCGAUCGGGCUGGGCUACCGGGAUCGGGAGAAGCGGGGAGAUGGCGCUACCGGUGCGGGAGACGCACGGGCGGCGGCGGUGAGAAGGCGGUGGCGGCGGCGGCGGCGCAGAGGAGGCGCGCGGCGGCGGCAGCGACAGCGGAUGGGAGGAUUAAAACCUAAAAACUGAUACCAUGUAGAAUAUGUGAAUUGCACGAUGUAUUGCUCUUCGUGCAUAGGCACGUAUAUAUGAUGUACAAAGGUGGGCCACUGACCUCGACUAUACAAGGAACUAGGAGGCAGGCCCAAUACACAAUAUGCACAUAACACAUAUACUCAACACAACCAAUGCACUGGCGCGGAACCUUCUAAUGCUUUGGACAGCUGAACUAACUAUAUUGUGCAGAUUAGCAGCUGGCGACUAGUGGAACAACAGUAUUCCAAAGUUAAUACUAACAUAAGUUGAACCAAUGCAAAUGAGGCAUGUUCUUAUUUUAUAAUGUCACAGUCUGGUGCCACCACUUGGAUUUAUUAACAGUUGCGAAGGAUUCUAUAAACUCCCCACUCACAAUUCUCGCGAUAGCGCAUGAUUAUUAUGUCUACUUGGUCAAGACUCAAAGAAAAUGAGCACUUGUUUUUACAAGGUGGGAUGCCUUCUGGAUAAGAUCGAUUGACAUUCCAGCUUCUAAAGUAAGCCGGAUUUAUAAAAAUGGAAUUUUGUUUGGAUAAAGUAAGUGGGCAAGGAACUACGAUCCAUUGGACACUACAGCGGAUAGUGCGCGGCUUGUUGGUUCGUUUGGGAUUUUUGUUGACCCGUUGAAUAUCUGUUGUACGUUUCGUGUUUCGUGUUACUGUGGCAAAUGUCGAAAACAAUUUGAUUGUUUAUUGGGAAGCCCUUUCUAUCAGAAGUCUGAUCCUAGAAAAUUGUCAGACUAGCACCCGGCCAUCAGAUGAGAGCUAUGCAUCCAACGAUUUCUAUUUGGGCUAUAUAAACCCACGUUGGGAUCUAUAAUUGCAUCUGACGGCCUAGGAGUGGUCUGAUAGGAAGCAAAAUUCAAUACUACCUCCAUCCUGAUUUAUUAGUCCUCUUUACAAUUUAUGCUAUAUUUUAAUCAAAGAUUUAACUGACAAAAUGCUAGUGCAUGUCAACAAAAAUUAUAUCGUUGGAUUCAUAUAUGAACAUAGUUUUCAAUGGUAUAAUUUUAGAUGACAUGCAUGAACAUUUUCUUAGUUAAAUUUAUGGUCAAAAUUUGGCACAGAUUACAAUGAAGACCAAUAAAACAGGACGGAUGUAGUACUAGUUUGAUGCCUAGUAGUUCCCUUAUUUUAUUAUAUAUAAAAUUUAUAUAAUGCAAACAUAGAUAUAAUUGCACCUGGGCUCACAAUAACAUCUAUUGACCGAGUGGGAGUAUCAUCUAGAGCUCAUCCAUUGUUAAAUGGCAAUGAUUGGGAAAGGUACCAAACAGAUUACCUGAGAUCUCAACUUAUCUAUCUGGAAUUCGAAUAUCACAUUAGACAAUUGGGAAAAUUUAUCAGUCUAACAUAGAAAUAUUUAUCAGACUGACUUGGAAUAUUAGUAUUGUUGAAUGACAUUUAUUAGUAUAUGAGCAGUGCUACAUCCACGACACUGACCAGACGAAAUGCACUACAGUGGUUGGAUUAGCUAUGUCCUGAUGUCGUUCUCCACAACUGUCGUGUGUGUAGUAGUUUCGUUAGUACUCCCUUCGUUUUUUUAGUCUACAUAUAAGAUUUGGUCAGAGUCAAACUUUGUAAAGUUUGAUCAACUUUAUUGGAAAAAAUAUCAACAUCCAUAAUACUAAAGCUGUAUGGUAUGAAAAUUAAUUUCAUGAUGCAUCUAACAAUAUUGAUUUUAUAUUGUGAAUCUUGAUAUAUUAUUUUAUAAAUUCAGUCAAAGUUAACAAAGUUUGACUUUAACCAAAUCUUAUAUGCAGACUAAAAAGAAACGGAGGAAGUAUAUAUUUUUCAGAAUAAAAGCACGACAGUGCAGGAGAAAGAAACUGGGAAUGCAGGAUGCAUGCAUGCAAUUAAUUACUAAAACUAAUUGGUAUACACAUGUGUGAAUUGUGGUGAGAUGCCAUAGUUGCAUGUGGUCUAAAUAAGUUAAGGGGGCUAUGCAUGCAAGAUGAUACCACGAGUUUUGCCACAAAAUUGAAGGACCCCGAUAACGAACCGACGUUUGAUAUGGGGAGGUAUCGUCCCAAAUGAAUCGUUCGGACCCCAACCAGUUGCGAUCGAACGAAUACCGUGCUUGUGAAGGGAAAAAUGGUGAUCAAUGCUACGCCACCAGCGCAUACAGCCAGCGCCCUAGCUAAAGAGGAGCUGAGCUGGGUCGCUCCUGCUACAGGAUGGACCAAGUUGAACACGGACGGAAGCUUCAUACCGGCUACAGGUAUGGCAGGAGGUGGGAUGAUCCUCCGGGACACUCAGGGAAACAUCAUAUUUAGCGCUUGCCGUGAACUCCGUACUUGUGGUAACGCGCUGGGCGCCGAGCUCACGGCGUGUAGGGAGGGGCUGGAGCUAGCCCUCCACCGGACGACGCUGCCAAUUUCGGUAGAACUAGAUAGUUCUGAGGCAGUGUCGCUGAUCAUAGCAAAUUCCGAUGAUAGAUCAGUAUAUCACUUCGUGAUCCAGGAGAUUAAAAGCUUGGCCUCAACUGAGGAUAGGGAGAUUUCUUUUACUCUUUGUCGUCCUUCGGAGAAUAAGGUUAGCCAUGAACUUGCUGCUUAUGGCCGUAGUACCUCCAGAACCGCAGUGUGGUUGCACUUGGGGUUAGAUUUCAUUGUAAUCUUGGUUGUGGCUGAGAGGCCCCCCGUGAGUAAUGAAAAUAUUCUUUACCCCCGCAUAAAAAAAAAGAAUACCGUGCUUGUGGUCGUUCGGGCUACCGCACGUCCCGCCCGAACGGCCUGCCAGCUGGGCUACGUAGGCAUGUGUCUUCCGAGCUGGGCCUUCAUGGUGAACCUGCAAAAAGUAAAGACUAAAUACCAACAGUAAAAGUUGCCAUGAUAAACUACAGAAGAGCUAAAAUACCUACAGGAAAAAAGCCAUGUUGUAAAAAAAAAAAAGAAAAAUACCUAAAAAUGGCAAAAAUACGUAAAAAAGAUAAAAAAAUACAUUAAAAAAACAGGAUAUUGCCACGUUGAAUUACAAAAAAGAUCAUACGGAGCAAAAAAUGUGCAUAGUAAAAAAACAUACAAAAAAAAGUUUGCCAUGGUAAUCUACAAAAAAAUGAAAACCCUGCAUGCCAAAAGUUGCAUAGUAAUCUCAGAAGUAAAAAACUACAAGAAAAAGGCAAUAUACACUGUUAUAGACUUAGUACAAAAUUAAGCUAUCAUGGUCAAACAAAAGUUUGCCGGGUUUUAAAAUUAAAUUUUGAAAUUGGUCCAAAAACAUGUAAAUUGCUGUGGUAAAAAGGUAAAAAUUCCCAUCUUUUCAAUAACUUGACCCAUGAUCUAGAAAGUAGAUUUGCCAUGGUCCAUAUACUAAAUUUGCCAUGCUUCACUAACUAAAUUUGAUAUGAUAUAUACUAAUUUCGUCAUGGUAUUAAAAGAAAUUUUGCCAUUGUCCAAUAUUGGUCCAAAAAUAUGUAAACUGCCGUGGCAAAAUAAAAGUUGUCAUUUUUUGAAUAAUUGCCCAUGAUCCAGAAACUAAAAAUUGCCAUGGUCCAUAAAUUAAAAUUUCCAUGAUCCAUUAACCAAAUUUCACAUGAUAUAUAGACUAAAUUUGCCAUGAUCCCAUAUUUAGAGAAAUGGUGCCAUGUUGCAAAAAAAGAGAGAAAUUUGCCAUUGUCCAGAAACUAAAAUUUGCCAUGCUCCAUUAACUAAAUUUUACAUGAUAUAUAGAUUAAGUUUGCCAUGGUCCCAUAUUUAAAGAAAAGGACAUUUACAUUUAUGCCCCUAAUUUGCGCCCACUCUCAGAUUUGCCCCCAAUUUCGAAGCCUGCUCAAAUUUACCCCUCCGCCGUUAGGUGCCCUUACAAAAAUGUCCUUCUGCGCUGUUACCGUCCGGUCAAAAGCGGUCAAAGAGCUUUGACCGUCCUGAAAAAAUAGCAAAAAAAUCUAAAAAAUCUGAAAUUUUGUCGGAUCAAAGAUACUCAGGUUCGCAAGACGCGUGCAAACUUUUGUGUUGUUUGGACAUUCCAGGAGCUUGCGGCAAAGAAAAAACAGUAGAUAUGUACGCUUGUGAACAGUAAAUUAAAAAAAUUGCAAAAAAAAUAAAAAAUAAUAUUUUUUUUGGCAUCAAAGAGGCUUGGGUCUGCAAGGUGCGUGCAAAGUUUUGUUGUGUUUGGACACUGUAGGAGCUCGUGGAGAAAAAAACAAACUUUGGCUCGGGAAAAAACUUUGGAAAAAAUGACUAUUGUUUUUUUGCUAGAGCUCCUCGCAUGUCAUUUGAUCACAAAAACUUGCAAGCACCUUGUGCACCCAAGCCUCUUUGAUGCCAAAAAAUUUCAUAUUUUUUGAAUUUUCUUGCUAUUGUAUUUCAAAUUUACUGUUCACAAGAGUACAGAUUAACUGUUUUUCCUCGCCACGAGCUUCUGAAAUGUCCAAAUAGCAUGAAAAUUUACACGCACCUUGCGCACAUGAGUAUUUUUGAUCUCUCAAAUUUUUAAAUUUUUCUUGCUAUUUUUUUCAGGACGGUCAAAACUCUUUGACCGGAGGGUAACGGCGCAAAAGGGCAUUUUUGUAAGGGCACCUAACAGUGGAGGGGCAAAUUUGAGCAGACUUCAAGGGGCAAAUCUGAGUAGGUGGUUCGAGUUAGGGAUAGAAAUGCAAAUGACCCUUAAAGAAAUGUUGCCAUGUUGCAUAAAAAGGAAUUUUGCCAUGGUCCAGAAAGUAAAUUUGCCAUGGUCCAUUAACUAAAUUUGACAAGCUCCAUUAACUAAAUUUGACAUGAUAUAUGGUCUAAAUUUGCAUAUUUAAAGAAAUCUUGUCAUGUUGCAAAAAAAAUUGCCAUGGUCUAGAAAGUAGCCAGGUCCAUAUACUAAAUUUGCCAUGAUAUAUAGACCAAAUUGGCCAUUGUCCCAUAUUUAAAGAAUUUUGCCAUGUUGCAAAAAAAAAAUUUGCCAUGGUUCAGAAAGUAAAAUUGCCAUGGUCCAUAUACUAAAUUUGCCAUGCUCCAUUAACUAAUUUUGCCAUGGUCCCAUAUUUAAAGAAAAAAUUUCAUGCUAAAUAUUUUUUUGCCAUGGUUCAGAAAGUAAAAUUGCCAUGACCAAUGGACUAAUUUGCCAUGAUCCAUAAACUUAAAUUGCCAUGGGCCUAUAAAAAAAGUUUUUUUUGCCAUGGUUCGAUAUCAUUACAUUUUUAUUGUACUUUUUUUAACGAUUUAAAGAAAAUUGCGAUGGGAUUUUACCAAAAUUUGCCAUGUCGGUUUACCACGACAGCUACUCAAAGAAAUUUGCCAUGGCAACUACUCAUAGCAAUUCUGUCCAUGGCAAAACUAGUCAUAACAGAUCUGCCAUGGCAGCUAUUCCAGAAUUUUGCCAUGACAACUACUCGUACCAAUUCUGUCCAUGGCAACUACUAAUAGCAUUUCUGCCAUGGCAACUAUUUGUUAAAAUAGGAAUGCAAAAGUAUUUACUAAAUUUGCCAAGACAAAUAGAAAGUAAAUUUAAAAAAUGUUUGUGAUGUUCGCAUGGCAAUUUCUGAAUAAAGAAAAACAUAUUAAUUUGCCAUGCAACACGGUUGAAAAUUCAUAGAUUUUCCCAUGUUGUGAAAACAUAAUGUGUUAGUGAAUUUGCCAUGCAACCUAUAUAUGAAUUUGCCAAGUUAUGAAUGGAAUCCAUGAAUUACCUAAAAAAAACGCAUAAUGGCCAUAUCCAUCAUUUACUGAAUAAAAAUUGAUGGCAACUUUUAUGAUGAUGCGAAUGUAUCAAAAUGUAUUGUUGCCAUGGCAACUUGCAUUACCAUGUAUACAGUUCCAACAUCAAUUUUUUUGUUAUGUCACAAAAAAUGAUGAUAACUUAAAUAUGAUUUCGUCCCUAAUACGAAGUAGCGAUGUUAUGUGAAUAAAUGGCCAUGAUUUAUCUAAAGACAGACAACCAGACAACAAAAAGCAGAGGAUCCAGAGCAUGCCGGAGCUGGACCCUUUAACAUUGAGAGUGAAAGUUAGGGAAGCUAUAGUACCCUAACUUUCCUUCUUUCUAUCCAUACGAUUAAGGCUAAAUUGACUUAAAUUAACUUCCAAAUUGAUGAUUUAUUGUGUACUUAUAGUAAUUACAUGCAAACAAAUUGACGAUGAAAUAAAAUUAAUUUAAAAUUAUUUAUAUCUACAGUAAAUAUCACCAGUAAACAACCUGCUAGGAGUACCUACUAACAGUCUCUAACUUUCUUUCUUCAUUUCACACUAGGCAAGCACUGUAGCACGGUGACUUUACUUCUCCAUGGUAGAGGAUCCGCUUCCGAGCAUGNNNNNNNNNNNNNNNNNNNNNNNNNNNNNNNNNNNNNNNNNNNNNNNNNNNNNNNNNNNNNNNNNNNNNNNNNNNNNNNNNNNNNNNNNNNNNNNNNNNNNNNNNNNNNNNNNNNNNNNNNNNNNNNNNNNNNNNNNNNNNNNNNNNNNNNNNNNNNNNNNNNNNNNNNNNNNNNNNNNNNNNNNNNNNNNNNNNNNNNNNNNNNNNNNNNNNNNNNNNNNNNNNNNNNNNNNNNNNNNNNNNNNNNNNNNNNNNNNNNNNNNNNNNNNNNNNNNNNNNNNNNNNNNNNNNNNNNNNNNNNNNNNNNNNNNNNNNNNNNNNNNNAGCUCACUGCGUCGGGGUGCCGGAGCAGCACAAAGCAGACGAGCGAUCUCCCGAGGCCGAGGUGAACCACACAACCUCGUCAUCGCCGACCAGCGGUACCACAACCGCCUCCGGCUCCCGCCCCAUCAAAGUCGUCGUCGCCGCGGAAGAUGACUGCCUGCUUCGUCACCCCAGUAGGAGGACCUUUGUCGCCGGCGGCCCCUUCCCCUGCGUUCCCGCCGCGCCAGCCAUUGCCGCAUCGGUUCCUUCGCACCGCGCCAUCGCCGGCUCGAGUACUUGUCGGCGUAGCACCCGUCGCUGCUGUACCCACCCCUCUCACAGGUGUGAGCAGCUCCCCUGCGCGAGGGUCAACCCCCACUCCCGCCGGCCGUCACUGUAAUCGCUCGGUUGGGGUCAAAAGAAGAGUGAGAGAAUUGAGAUGAGUGGGUAAGAGAAAGCAGUGGAAAGACAUGGGUGGCUCUUUCGGCCGCUUGCCUGCUCGGCCCGAACUCUCGACAAAACAAUGUGGCAACCAGUGCUUCAAGACACGUGUGUUUUACCCAACGGGUAAAAACACGCGUUCGGGCCGAAAUCCCAGAUUCCCGACGUUCGGGCGUUACCGUUUUCGAAAUUGAAUUGGGGAGUAUUUUCUUAAUAUUUUCUAAAAUAUAAUUUCACUAUUUAUGAUUCAAAUUACGUGACAAAUUUCUGCUUAAACGAAAAACACCUUAAAAGGAAAAGUUUUGCAUGUCACAAGUAAAUGCAGUGUGAUUUAAAACUCCACCUAGAGUGCACAUGUAUAUUCCAUAUGCUAGAGACAUUCUCAUUCCAAAUCGGAUGGAUGCUAGUGGACUAUGCUAGCAAAUUAACCGGCUGCAACAACUUUGAUGAUGUAUAAGCACUCAUGCGCGAUAAUGCCUUGCAGCGGGGUUUGUAAAAUGUAUAUAAAACACUACUGAUUCCUCGCGUAAAAAGCAGAGUAGUACUACUUACUGUCUUCAGAAUCCCAAAGAAAAACUUUCUCCUAAUUUUCCCCUUCUAACUGAAUUACCUAGUUAUGCACAGAUUUCAGGUUGCAGGACCGCGAUGCCUGUUGUUGGCAGUCAACAGAGAGGGCAACACGAAGGCUGCACUGGCACACGGAGCAAUGGAGCAAAUAGUCGGUCCGAGUUCAGAACAUUACCAAGUCAGAAGCACAAUGCUGAUCUUAUUUCCCACUACUGUAGAACAUUUGGAAACAUGAAAGCGCCCAGCUCUAAAACAACACAGCAGAGGCAGAACAGGGCAGUUCACCCUGUUCGGGCAGGGAACUUAAAAAACCUCUACAGAGGCAUACAGCCGAACACCUUGCGUGCACGCACCACCGCGCCGCGCUCGGCCAUCCACUCACUCGCCGCAGAUCUCCUUGAGCCGCCCUGCCGCCUCCGCGGCGUCGAUGGAGUACUGCAAGCCACGCGUUACAUAACUAGGAACGGUGAGAUAGGUAGCAGGAAUAGGUCGAUCCAUUGGCAUUCCAUUCCCAUGAGCCGCGAAUGAAAUGGAUGGUACGAUGAACACGCAAAGAGUGAGAAGGAGCACCGCAUUUGAUUGACGUGAUGGUACCUUGGAGAGGACCCAGGCGGAGUGGGCAUGCGCGCGGCGGAGGAGGUCGGCGAGGUCGUCGUCGGCGGAAAGGUGGCGGUAGUUGACGAAGUUCUCGCGGGCGUACUUCGCGUAGUAGGGCCGCGCGUCGGCAGGCAGCCGGCGCACCAGCCGCAGCACCUCCCGGUAGGCGCGCAGCCCGGCGUUCGUAAUCGCCUCCGAUCGAAUCCAGGUCUGGCAGGGCAAGGCGCACAAGCAAUACUACACGCUUGUACGGUAGUAGUCUACUAAACUCACAGCGGAAAAAAAACUCCAAUUAGCAAGAGUGCAACAUUUCUUUUUUCUCUCGAAAAGCAUCCCAAGGUUCACAAAAGGUAUAAAUCACUUCAAACAUAGUAAUAAAAAAUACGUGGAUGUAUGUAGACCAUCUAACAACCACCGUCGCCGGCAAAAUGAGCUGUCGAUGUGCCACUGUCGCCACUCCUCUACCGGAGCCGGUUUGACUUUGUAACCGGUAGCCGGAAAGUCUGUCUACAUAUGCCCCUAAGAACCAACACAUUAAAACCAACACAUCUGACAUCAAAUCUUGCCAUCAUGCACGCAUGACGAGAAGCCAUAGGGGCUGUUUGGUUUCAGCCCCCACCAGCCCUUCCAAAACGACGGCUUGCCAACUUUUUGGCGAAGGAAAUCGCCGCCAACAACUCGCCUGCGUGCUGGUAUAGAAUUGCAAGGGCGUGCCAAAAUUUUGGCUGCGAUCCAAACGCUUGCCAGCCUGUUGGUCAACGACCAACAUUUUGGAAGGGCAGCCGUGGGCUGCCAACCAAAGAGCCCCAUAACCUCGCCGACCGAAUGACACAUCAAGAAUCUACGUUGGGGCUCUAUCGAUUAUAGCUAGGCAGAUGAAUUCAGGGAGGGGCGGAUCUCGGGUAGGGGGUCCCGAAUUGUGCGUCUAGGGUCGAUGGUAACAGGAGAUAGCGGACACGAUGUUUACCCAGGUUCGGGCCCUCUCGAUGGAGAUAACACCCUACUUCCUGCUUGAUUGAUCUUGAUGAAUAUGAGGGUUACAAGAGUUGAUCUACCACGAGAUCGUAAUGGCUAAACCCUAGAAGUCUAGCCUGUAUGAUUAUGAUUACCCCUCCGGACUAAACCCUCUGGUUUAUAUAGACACCGGAGGGGCCUAGGGUUGUACAUAGUCGAUUUACAAAGGAAGGAAUCUACAUAUCCGAACGCGAAGCUUGCCAUCCACGUAAAGGAGAGUCCCAUCCGGACACGGGAAGAAGUCUUCUGUCUUGUAUCUUCAUAGCACAUUAGUCCGGCCCACGUCACACAGGCCGGACGUCCGAGGACCCCUUAAUCCAGGACUCCCUCAGUAGCCCCUGAGCUCUAUCGAUUAUAGCUAGGCAGAUGAAUUCAGGGAGGGGCGGAUCUCGGGUAGGGGGUCCCGAAUUGUGCGUCUAGGGUCGAUGGUAACAGGAGACGGCGGACACGAUGUUUACCCAGGUUCGGGCCCUCUCGAUGGAGAUAACACCCUACUUCCUGCUUGAUUGAUGUUGAUGAAUAUGAGGGUUACAAGAGUUGAUCUACCACGAGAUCGUAAUGGCUAAACCCUAGAAGUCUAGCCUGUAUGAUUAUGAUUACCCCUCCGGACUAAACCCUCUGGUUUAUAUAGACACCGGAGGGGCCUAGGGUUGUACAUAGUCGAUUUACAAAGGAAGGAAUCUACAUAUCCGAACGCCAAGCUUGCCAUCCACGCAAAGGAGAGUCCCAUCUGGACACGGGAAGAAGUCUUCUGUCUUGUAUCUUCAUAGCACAUUAGUCCGGCCCACGUCACACAGGCCGGAUGUCCGAGGACCCCUUAAUCCAGGACUCCCUCAGUAGCCCCUGAACCAGGCUUCAAUGACGAGGUGUCCGACAUGUAGAUUGUCUACGGCAUUGCAAGGAGGGUUCCACCCCCGAAUACUCCAAAGCGACCUUCGAACACAAAAAACGUGUCCGGCUCUGCAAAACAAGUUUCACACACAACCGCAGAGAGUAUAAUAUUUCAUGAGUCCAAUCUGCUGACAACUUUUGUAGCGUGACAUCACGUCCCUGCCCGGUCAUCAUUUUGAACCAUUUUUAGCCUCCCGCUCCAUGUUUCGAGAUGCGGUUUUAUUGACACGUCUUGUCAAAGCAGAGAUCGUGUCCCCUUAUUGCGGGAUUCUCAUCAAUACGAGCGUGGGUAAUCCAACCGUGCUGUCUACACGGCCCCUGGGGAAUAGGCGAGUUUUAAGGCGAGUGGGGAGGCGCUUGAUAUUCGCUGCCUUUAUAAGGAGAUAAGGAUUCACCCACGCCUUCUCUCGCUCUGCCCAUCCAUUCUCGAGCUCCAGCGCCCCAGCUUCCAUCAUUUCCAGCUCAGAGAACACUCCGACAAUGUUAGGAUCUGGAGCGCAGGGCAAGUGGAUGGUCUCCUCCGUCAAGGAGAAGGACAUCACCAAGCUCCGGGAGGCUGGGUACUUAGCCCAGGAGAUCGCCCACCGGCUUCCCGCAAUGGGGCAGAUCAUCCCCACCCCAGAGCCCCAUGAGAGGGUGGUAUUCAUCCCCCACUUCGUCCGCGGAUUGGGAUUCUCUCUCCACCCAUUCGUCUGCAGACUCAUGUUCUACUACGGGGUGGAUUUCCACGAUCUGGCCCCUAAAUCCUUCCUCAACAUCUCGGCAUUCAUUGUCGUGUGCGAGGCCUUCCUCCGCAUCCCACCCCACUUCGGAUUGUGUCUAAAGAUCUUCAAUGUGAAGCCGAAGGUGGUGGGUGACCAACACGCAGAGUGCGGAGGCGCCAUGGUGAGCAAGAUGCCCAACGUCACAUGGCCCAAAGGUACCUUCAUGGAGACCGUCAAAGGGUGGCAACAUCAGUGGUUCUACGUCACAGAGCCUCAUGAUGCCACCUGGGCCGCGGCUCCCGAAUUCCAGUCCGGAGCCCCGAUGCGGCUCACCUCCUGGCUAGAGAAGGGCCUGGACUGGUCUUCGGCGGACGAGGUGACAAUGCUUUAGACGAGCAUUAGGAGCAUGGUCG
rnacentral:lncRNA from 1 species